AGAAUAUUCCUCCGACCAAACGCAGCCUAAAUCUACUAAAAAUUAAUAUUAAAUUAAGUGAAAUCUUCUGUUCAUUUGAAUGGAAAAAUUAAACCAAUGAAAAAAAAAAUUAAAGCUCGAGAACUAUUUCAAAAUGCGGCAUAUAUAUAACUGAGAGGGUCGGUCUCCACAAUAUUUUGCCGAAAUUACGGUCCAUCUUUUUUGACUUCCACAGUUUUUUCAGUAGAAAAAGAUUAACAUGCAUGUAGUGUAGUUUUUUCUUGGGUUUACAGACUUUUUAGUUUAUUAAUAGCGAUCUUAUGAUCACAAGUUGACCAAAACUUCGUUUCCUCAUUUAAAAUAAUGUGUACGGAAUGGUACGAAGGUACUACCAAGUCAUAUUCAAAAUAAACAUGCCCCAAAAAAUUAUGUAUGAACCAGUCAAACUAUUCACACAGGAACCCAAACAUACUCGAGCUCAUCAAAAUCUCCCUUCUUAUUUCCUGGACAAAUAAUGAAGUUCCAUGAUAAAAAUUGUUAAACUAUGUGAAAUCACUAUUUGUUUCUAAAAUCCUAAAUUGUUAGAUAUUUUGAUAGACACGAGACACGAAUUCAACUAUUUAUCUCAAAAAACUUAAGCCGUUCAAGAAUAAUGUUUUAAUAAUACUCUUUUUAUACAAUAUUAAAUAAUAUAAAAUAAUCAUUUACCUCCAAAGUUUAAGCCGUCGGAAAAUAGUACUUUUUGAUGUUUUAUAUCUAACAAAAAGCCAACAAAAUGACAAUACUCCAAAUGCCAUACAAUUACAUAGACAUUAGUUAAAAGGGUGAAUCCUUCCAGUAGCUUAUUACACAAGUAUCUGAAAUACAAGCUCGUGCCUAAUUAAAUAAGAGCAAGCAGCACCAGUAGAACAGUUUAGAUAAUACAAACUAUUACAAUCAAACACAACAUUUUCGUGGGAAAUUGGGUCUCUAACAAUACAACACAAGCAGGGAGAGAGUGUUGGCCCAAAAGCAGCAAGGAUUGUGUACAGAGAAAUACCUGCUUAAUUACCUUAUGCAAGCCAUCCUGGCAAAUAGUUGCUCACACUUGGCCCGGGAGUUGUCGCGAUUGUUAUUUGAUCAGGAUGGUACCUAUUAAGUAUGAAAUAUUAAAAACUUUGCUCUUUGUCGGCUUAAGUUUUUAUAGUAAUUAGUUGUUUUACAUAGUAUCAAAACAAAUUAUCUCUAUGUUUGAAUCCCACGAAGCGCCAAAUCUCAUCUAACUAUCAUUUAAUUCAAGUCCACAUCUAAGCAAGGAAAAUUUUUGAACAUAAAAUAUGUUUCACACUACCCUAUAUGCACAAAAUGAAGGGUAAUGUGUAUGUCGUUCAGAUAGAAGACUAGAGUGUGAAAGCUUGCUAAUUGCUUUUGUUUAAUAGCUGAUCAAUGUAGUGGAUUCUGAAUAGGCAUUAAAAACGGUGUCAAGUUCGAAUUAAAGGAAAUCUAUAUAAAUUUUCUUUCGCAGAAGUAUAUUAAAACAUUGUAUAUUAUGUAUGAAGGUUUGAUCAAAUUUGUUCUGGUGUAUGCUCUAUGCAUGCAAAGAAAUGUCAGAGUAUGUUACAUUUGUCUCUCUACGUGAAAAUGGUUUGUAGACUAGUACCGGUUAGAAAUCCAGAUCCCUAUUAUAUCCCAAAGGAAAAAAGUAUGCCAAUUCAGUUAACCUACUGUUUAAUCCACAUGUUAUUUUCAUUGGUAUUAUGAUGAAUUGUUGACUAUUUGAUCAAACUUUGUAUUCCACUUUCACCUGUUGUCAGCUUUUUUGAAGCAUUUAGUGAGACUUUAAUCAUGGCAGAAGGAGGAAAAUUUGUGAGGCAGUAAAAUAAGCCUCAGUUUAAAGCUUAUACUUUCGCCUGAAAUAGAAGCUCAAUGUAAAGCCUAUUAGAAUAGUGCUAUCAAACAAGAACUUCAUCAAACAAUAUUAAUGCCUACAGACCCUACAGCAAGGCCUUCUUUUAUUUAAGCUUUGACUACAGCUGCUAAAUUAAUAACACGUUUCCGAAUGCGUAUAAAUAAACUUACCCGAUUUGGAGAGUGGGUUCACACUCGAUAGGCUGGAAGAAGCCAUCACCCUGAGGCUGAGCAGCCUGCCGGCCAUAACCAACAGCGUGUGCGUUCGGAUCCCAAACCUGCUGCUGACUAGCCUGGUUGCUCUCUUCCAGCUGCAUGUACGUGCAAACCAUCAAAAUAAUAAUUGCAAUAAACAGCUUAGAUUUUUUUUCACAUGAAUAUAGGCUAAAUUUAUGGUAAAAUAAAAGAAACAUAUAACCGGAUUUUAAUUUGUGUUGAAGGGUAUGGCACAUGUUUUCCGUCGCAUUCAACUGACAAGCUUAAGCCAUAAGAUUUGAUUCGAAUGAUCUGAAUCAAUCAUUCUUACUUUCAUUGUUAUAUUUCAUUAAUGUACUUCGUCAACAUUGAUUACUCUUAAAGUGUCAUGUGCACAAUAUGCGAAUUCCAGAAGUACUAUACAAUUAAUUCUUAUGAAAGCUCUAUGAUUGUCUAUCUUAAUUCGUUCACAUCGACCGGAUUCUGUCAUUCAUAUUUAAUCUUUUCUGAAACUUAAUCAUCAGCUUUUGUUUGUUCUCCAUGUAAAAAUGGCUUCAUUGCAUACAAUGAUCAAUCAAAUCCAUUCCGCGAAUCUCGUAAAGAGCAAAGCAGGUACUCACCCUUCUCCUUAGGCUUCUAUUGGCCUCAGAAAGCAUUUGCUCCUGCAGAAAAAGAAUACAGUCCAUUAGACUGGUAUUCAAAAUAAAUGCCACUCAAAAACUAUUUGAAGCAAUACUAUACCCUCCUCUGCAGGUCUGCCAGUUGAUCAAGCAUGUAUUGGGUCUGCCAAAAGAUAGAAAUUCUAAGUCAAGAUUUUACAUUUCUUAACUUCUAUUUUGCUCUCCGUUUAAUGAGAAAGUUUAGAGAAGUAGCAUAUGAUGAAAACUGUGUUAUCAGAGAGACAAGAAAUUAAUUCUCAUCAUCAAGAAACAAGAAACAAUGCUAUUGUUGAUCCCGGUCUUUAGUGAAAGAAAUUUAAAUAAAAAACAAUAUCGUGUAAGAAAUAAAGUUCAACGUAAAUAUACGCGUGUUGAUCUUAUUUGUUUCAGUGAUGCAUCCAACUGUCGCUCCAGUUGCUCAAGUUCCUUGCUGCUGAGUGGGCCCAAAUCCUCGCCAAGGAGAUUUCUGAGGUUACAUCGAGUUAAAAUCAUACAAAUCAUGGAAAAAUAACAUUUGUAGUAUUUAUUUUACUCACCUUUGCGAACGUUGCAGGGCCUCGACACGUGCUUUAAGUUUCAAGUAUUCCUGUUGACUACUCUGUUCACGACAACAAGGUAAGAGGGAUUAGUCCUUUCAUUCGGCUCAGAUGAUGGAUUGGAGUUAACCAUUAGCAUGUUGGUGCAUUCUAAAUUUUGCAGAACAUAUUGCAACUCGUAUAAACCAAAUUCCAUCUUCCUGUUUCCAAUGCAACUCAUGUAGAACUGAUAAAAGAGUUUACCUUUCCUAGUUAUAAUAUUAAUUGCUAAAAGAGUUAACUUUUCCUAAUUACAAUAUUAAUUGUUUGUGUGUUAGCCCAACAAUUGGUGAAAGAGAUGUUCUGAAGCCUAUAUAUAGGAAUUGAAGUUUUCACUUAAAAAAGAAAAUGGUACUACAGAUUUGCAAUAAGAAAAGUUAUCCACUUUUUCUCAUUGAUGAAUUGGAGUAAGAAAAAUAUAACCUACUUGACGUCAAAAUGUAAUUUGUAAUUCCUACUUUCGAAUAAUAAAGUACGUUUUGGGAAAGAGUCAUGUUAGAAAUCUAGUCAUUGACCUAGAAAAUUUAAAGAGUUGCUAAGUUAAUGAGUUGUGAGAAAUCCUAAAAGUCAUGACAGGGAGCUCGGGGAUCAUCUGAAUGUUUAUAAACAGUUAGCCUUCGAAGCAUGGCAAGAGUAAGUCACUAAGCCAAGAACUUCUCUUAUAACCAUAAACCAAAUCGAUGAUAAUCUCCCUUAGUGUCUACUAAAAUUGCAGUUUCUUCUUCUAACUUCCUAGUACCCAACACCUGACAUGUUUGGAUCAUUUAUUGGUACUUACUGUUGGGAAUCCGGUACACGCCCUGGUACCGGAUCUCGACAAUCCGCAACCCGCUGUGGUACUGACUGCUGUGGAUCCGGUAUCGAUUGUUGGGAUUCCGCAACGGAAGCGUCGAAUCCGGUUUUUACCAUAAACCCGUCUCCUCAGCAAAAGCUUUCUCUCGUCUUCUAUAAACCCACAAAGAAGACCUCUCCGCAUGUACCCGUGAACAAGGUGCACUAAAAUAACUCUCUCUCUCUUUUCUCUCCUGGUACGACACCCCAAUGAUUCCAGCCGUACUCCCUUUAAAAAAGAGAACCACAAUGCCUAUUUAUAAUGCUCAACUUAAAACGUACCCCAAUCCUAAUAUAUUUAGGAUUCAUACUUUAAUUAAUAUCUAAAUCUAUCUUAAUCAAUCUCUAAUAGAUUUAAAUAUUAAUCCUAAUCUAGUUAGGUUUAUCCUCUAAUUAAUAUUUAAAUCUUAAUUUAUCUCAAACAGAUUUAAAUAUUAAUUCUUAUCCAAAUAGGAUUUAACUACAAAUCUAACCAAAUCCUAACAUUCUCCACCUUGGUUUGAUUUGUAAUUUUCAACCGCUACGUCGAGCUCACCAUGCAAGCUCCACCUUGAGCUUGUCUCCUCCGCUCGAUGUCGCCGCAUCCGUCGCUCCGUCUCGAGCAACUGCACAUCCGCGAACUUUUGGAACCAAAACCAUCUUCGCUCCCGUUCUGGCUGUGCUCCCAUUCAGAACGUAUAAGUUCCCACGCUUGUUCGCCUCGCAUACGACCCGAUCUCGUUUUCGGACUCUCACAGCUCCACCUGAAGCUGAAAUAUCGCAACCCUUCGAGUCCAAUGUGCCUAACGAGAUCAAAUUCCGCUUCAAUUCAGGAACAUGCCGCACACCUGUCAGCGUCCUCACGACCCCAUCGUGCAUUCGGAUUUUCACCAUGCCGACUCCCAAUACUUUGCACGCUGUCCCGUUCCCCAUCAGCGCCUUUCCACCUUUGAUCGUCUUAUAGGUGGCAAAAGACUCAUUCUCCGGGCAUACGUGAAAAGAACACGCUGAAUCGAGCACCCAUGCAUCGUCCAAAAUUUUCGCACCUCCGGUCGCCGCAUACAGUACAUCAGAAUCGAUCAUCUCCGACUCUGCUGUCUGCGCCGUCGCUGAUACCGUCUCGUCCUGGUUCACGACAGUUUGCUCCUUCUGUCGCUUUAACUCCUUUAGAUCAUCCUGAAGUUUUCGACAAUUGCGCUUGACAUGCCCCUUCCUGUGACAAUAAAAGCAUUCUACCUCAAAUAGCGGUUUCUUCUGUUGAUAUCCGGUCGCCGAUAUUCUCGUCUCUUUCUUCGCAGUCACCACCAGUCCUACAUCCUGACUUUGCGUGCCGGACUCUUAAGUCAUCUUCCGCAUCUCGUUCGAGAGAAGCGCCGCCGUGACCGCCUCCACGCUUAUGGACUCCUUGCCAUAAAGCAACGUGGUCACCAAAUGCUCAUAUGUCGUCGGUAGCGAAGAUAGUAGGAUCAACGCCUUGUCUUCGUCAUCCAGAUUGACUUCGAUGCUGGUCAAUUGGGCCACCACCUUGUUGAACUCAUUUAGAUGAUCAUGUAGGCUCGCCGCUUCUUACAUCUGCAACGUAAACAGUCGCUGCUUCAGAUACAAUCUGCUCGUCAGGGAUUUGGUCAUGUACAGAUCUUUCAAUUUCUUCCACAAUUUCGUCGGUGUCGUCUCGCCGGCUACAUUGUAAAAAACCUCAUCUGCUAAUGAUAGAUGAAGCGUACUCAGCGCCUUCCGCUCUAUCUUCGUCCAUGCCGCAUCCGUGACCUCCGCCGGCUUUGCCUCCUUCCCGUUCAUCGUGUCGUCUAACUCUUGCUGUACGAGGAUUGCUUGUACUUUAAUUUGUCAUAAUCCGAAAUUGUUCUUGCCGUCGAACUUCUCGAUUUCGAAUUUCGUGGCCAUCUCCGUCGAUCUCUCCUGCAGAUCGGUAACCUUCGGCUCUGAUACCAAUUGUUGGGAAUCCGGUACUCGCCCCGGUACCGGAUCUCGACAAUCCGCAAUCCGUUGUGGUACCGACUGCUGUAGAUCCGGUAUCGAUUGUUGGGAUUCCGCAACGGAAGCGUCGAAUCCGGUUUUUACCAUAAACCCGUCUCCUCAGCAAAAGCUUUCUCUCGUCUUCUAUAAACCCACAAAGAAGACCUCUCCGUGUGUACCCGUGAACAAGGUGCACUAAAAUAACUCUCUCUCUCUUUUCUCUCCUGGUACGACACCCCAAUGAUUCCAGCCGUACUCCCUUUAAAAAAGAGAGCCACAAUGCCUAUUUAUAAUGCUCAACUUAAAACGUACCCCAAUCCUAAUAUAUUUAGAAUUCAUACUUUAAUUAAUAUCUAAAUCUAUCUUAAUCAAUCUCUAAUAGAUUUAAAUAUUAAUCAUAAUCUAGUUAGGUUUAUCCUCUAAUUAAUAUUUAAAUUUUAAUUUAUCUCAAACAAAUUUAAAUAUUAAUUCUUAUCCAAAUAGGAUUUAACUACAAAUCUAACCAAAUCCUAACACUUACUGUAUUGCUACUUUGUGAAUACUUCUAUCCACCUUAAAUGUCAUACUCCGAACCCCAAAUUGGGCUAAUCAAGUUUAAGUUAAAACUUCUUUUCUGCUAAGUUUGUAUAAUUUUCAGAUAGUAUUGUACAAUGCCAUACAGAGACUGAUACGAUUUGAAAUGUCUAAGACCUAAAUACGUUUACUCAGGGACACGGCGCAAUUUAUCCGAAACACUUUAUGAUUUCGAAUUAAUGGUGCGCAAAUUCUGUAUAUGGCUGUACAAACAUAAGCAGAAGCUGCAUAAUUUCUCCAGUUAUGGGCUGAACUAACAAUUAAGAGGCAAAACGACCCAGUCACCGACUCUUUCACCAACAAAGCUUAUGUAGUUAAUCAUUCAUAGCCAUCCUCUUGUCUGCCACCCAUUAAGAUAGGAAAAGACCAAAAUUACUCUCCUCAUAUGUCUAAGCCUCAUGUGAUUAAAUGUUAGGCAGGAAAAGUGUAAAACAACCAUUUUACUCUAAAAACUUAAGCUGUUAGAGAACGAAAUUAAUAUACUAGAAGCCUGGCGUGACUCGAACUCAGGACCUCCUGCUCUGAUCCCAUGUAAAACAACCGUUGUACUCUAAAAUCUUAAACUGUUAAAGAACGGUGUUUAAACAUUUUUAUAUUUAACAAAAAGUUUCUUCUCCUCUCAUCUCUUUCUUUAUUCUUCUUUCUUGAGAAGAUGACCAAAAGUAAGGACAGAACAUUCUCGACCAUUCUCAAAGAAGAUGAGAAAUAGUGGAGCACAAGCUUGGAGGAAAGAUCUAUUUCAAACUUGGAAGCCCUAAAGAAAUGAAUUUGGGGAUUUUUGCUUUUAAAGUUUAGACUAGGGUUUUUAGAACUUGAUUUGAAUUUGUUUAGAGUCCGUUUAAAUGCUAUUAACUACUUUUACGACCGGGCCAUAAUUUUUAGAGGAUUUGACACUAUAUGGUGAAGCUCAAUUUUGCCGUUGACGUGGGAUUCAAUUAUGGGUCCUCGGAUUGACACUUGAGGAGUCAAUUAGGUUCGUCGGGAGGGACCAAGGCCACGGGCAUCGUGUGCUGGCAAGCCAACAACUUACGGACAAUUAAAAAUUAAAUUAAAAAUUAAAUUUGUUAUAUUUCUCAUGGUACUACUAAUUGCAACACAACAUUCAUAACUUAGAAAAUUAAUAUGACGAUUGCAUGCUUAUUGUCGAAUGCGUCAUAAUAACAGCAAGUACAAUUUCUUUUAUGCAUAUUAUAAUUUUAAAUUUAAAAUUUAAAAUUAUAAACUUUAAUUUUGAGAUUUCAAAUUAUAAAUUUUAAAAAUUUAAAUUUUUAAAUUUUAAGUUUUCAAAUUUUAAAAUAAGAAUAGGGGUGGGAACAAUUAAUAAAAAUAAUUUAUUAUAAUAAAUUUAUAAAUUUUUUUACAAUUAUACUUAAACUUAAAUUUAAUAAAAAGAUUUUAUUAUAAUAUUUAAUUAUAAAAAAUAUGUAUUAAUAUAGUAUAAUUAAUAAUUUUAUAAUAAAAAUAAUAUAUUAUAAUAUAUAACAUAUUAUAUUUAUAUAAUUUAGUUUUAAUUCAACAUAUAAUUUUAAUUAAGUUUGAAAUUAAGUAUUGGAAUAGCACUAUUCCACCAAAAUGGUGGAAUAGAAAAUUCCUUGCUAUUCCGGGAUAAUCAGGAAUAGCAAGGUUUGACCGAAUAAAAUAUCCCUACAACAAAUCACUCCAUUUGGCGGAAUAGCGGGGAUAACUUUUGUUAUCCCCGCUUAUCCCUCAAACCAAACGGGGCCUAGGAGUAUAUAUUUUUAUAUAUUCACUCCAGUGUAAAGGUGUUCAUAUGGAUCGGGUCGGGUUUGGAUAAUUAUAUACUGUACCCAUACCUUAAAAAACAUAGGUAGGAAAAAAAUAUAUAUACCCUACCUAUUUAACUUCGGGUCAGGUUUGGGUCUGGGCGCUUAAGUUACUAAUAUACCCAUCGGAUCUAUCUGAGCUGGUCUGAAUAGUGACUAUCCGAAUACUACUUGAAAUCGGGUAUGGGUCAGGUCUAGAUCAGGUAUGGAUAUCCAUAUGCAUAUAAUUUUUAUAGCCUUAAUUAAACAGUUUAUAGAUAAACUAUAAAGCUCUUACUAUAAAAAAAACUCGCAUUCUAAUAAAUUGCACUCAGUUCAAAAAAAUUCGUUCAAAAGAAAGAACAAAAUAUCCCAAUACAAGAAAGGCCAUCAUUUUUCAUAAGCACAAAAGAUAUGGAAAAGCUAUCAUACUCCAUAAAAAGUACAAAAUGGCAUCAUCAAGUAGCAUAUACGUACUAAGACAUCUUAAGUGGAUAUAAACCAUAUACUACUAUAAUACACAUGAAUCCAAAGCAUAUGCACCUACCGUAAAGUAAUAUGAACCAUAUAAUACUACAAUACACAUGGGUCCAAAACACAUGUACCUACUAUUAUAUAGUUAAAACAUAUACAUAAUAUGUCUGAAAUAUUGCAAUGAAAAUAUAGGUAUCAAGUUUUUCAAUUUUCACGAGUGAACAACAACAUAAUAGUCACAAUAACCAAUAGAACAAUUAUCAAAAUUUUUUUCUUGUCGAUUGAUUCUUUUUCCAGAAUUUCUAGUAACAAAAGUCUUCAACCUGUCAACAAAAGGGUUUCAUUUGGACGUACACAAAGACCCUUCAUCUAUAAGUCCUAUUGAAGAUGAUAUCUCAACUUCAAUUCUAUUUUAUUUGCUAUCGGAUAUUUCACUGAGUCUAAAUCCAAAUCUAGAUUUGAAAACUAUUUCAAACCCUACCCAUUAAAAGGUUGGAUUCGGAUCGGAUCCAAGUCGGUUAUAAAGCAUCCGGACCUAUGUCCGAAACUUUAAUGGAUAAUUUUUUUUUGCUCAUAUGCUAUCCAUUUUUUAUUGGCUACGAUUCGGGUCCAAGUAAGGUAUAGGAUAUCAGGUAUUUUGGAUGGCUUUAAUCCAAUGUUUAUACCUCGUGGAUCUAGCCACUGUCUAAAUUGAUAUAGCCGAGUUAAGAGGUUUAGUCCUAUUCCUGGGGUCUUACAUUCUCCCACUCUUUAAGCCUUAUGUCCUCAUUAGGCUCUGACACACUCAUAAGUAUCAAGCAAUAUCAUACUCGACCUUAUGGUUGUUAGAGAUAAUGCUAAUUAGAUUAGGAUUAGAUUAUUUGAUAUUAUCCAUUAUUAUAUUCGGUUAUGAUUAAAAUAUAUUCGGUUAUUAUUUAAAUGAUGGUUAAGAUGAAAUCUAAUUAGAGUAGGAUUAUAUGUAAUUAGUUAUAAAUAGAUAGGUUGGGAUUAUUUGGUUAAUGAAGCUGGGAGUCGCCAUAAUUAAUUAGCGCUCGCCAAAGGUUGCAUAUGGUGAUGAGUUAUGUUCUUCAAUAAAGUUAUUUUGUUUUUCUUCCAUGACAACGUACCAGAUUUUUUGAUUUGUCUUCUUCCUCUCUCGUUUUUUUCUAUUUUACUUUUUGUGGAGAUCUCUCUAUACCAUAACAAGUAUAUAGAACGUAUUUGUUAGUGGCCCAUCACCGUAACAAGUGGUAUCAGAGCCUAGAUUUCGAGAGGAGAAGGUGUUGAUAGCGUUUAACAGCGCUAAUGGAGUUGCACAAGGAUUCCCAAUUUUCAAGGGGGACAAUUAUGAUUUUUGGUGCGUGAAGAUGCGGACGUUACUGCGAUCCCAAGAUUUAUGGGAUUUUGUCGAAAAAGGAUGCAAGGAAACAACCGGAGAGAAUCUGAAAAAGAUGCAAAGGCGUUUUUUUUUAUUCAGCAAUCAGUUGACGAUUCUAUAUUUUCUCACAUUGCCGGUGCUACUAAAUCAAAGGAAGUAUGGGAUAUAUUACAGAAGGAAUACCAAGGUAAUGAAAAGGUACUUAGAGUUAAAAUUCAAAUUUUAAAAAGAAGAUUUGAAACUUCUUUUAUGCAAGAAAAUGAAAAUAUUCAUACUUUUUAUUCUAAAGUUAUGGAAUUAGUUAUCUUGAUGCGUACAUAUGGUGAACAGAUUACUGAUCAAACAGUAGUCGAAAAAAUUUUAAGAAGUCUAACGAAAAAAUAUGGUGAUGUUGUUUCUGCUAUAGAAGAGGCAAAAGAUUUAUCUAAAUUAUCUUGUAGCGAACUUCUUGGUUCUCUUUUAGUACAUGAAGAACGAAAAGAUAGAACUGAAAAUUUUUCUGAGCAUGCUUUUCAAAGUGAAUCGAAAAGCGAUGAAAAAGAUGGUGCCGAUUCUUCUAAUUAUCAAGCUUUAGCAUACGGUGGCUAUAGUAGAGGCCGUGGUCGUGGCCUAGGCAGAGACCGCGGAGGUAGAUCGGGUGAUUUCAACAACAGAAACGAUGAAAGAUCGGGUAAUCAAAAUCAGAGAACCUACGGAGGUAACGAUGAAUCUCGUAAUCGUAAAAAUAUUCAAUGCUAUUAUUGUAAAAAAUUUGGCCAUAUCGAGCGCUUUUGUCGAUUGAAACAACAAAAUGUGAAUUUUGUUUGUGAAAAGAAUGAAAACGAUAAUGUACUUUUUACAUGUCGUUCAUUAGAAAAAAUUACUAACAAUAUUUGGUAUGUCGAUAGUGGUUGUAGCAGUCACAUGACAGGAAAAGAAGAGAACUUUAUUAAUUUGGACAAAUCAGUUAAAGGCCGGGUGACGAUAGGUGACGGUUAUGUCCAUGACGUGCACGGAAGAGGUACAAUUGCGGUAAAUAUUUCUGGAAUGCAAAAAAUAAAUAAUGUCUUAUAUGUUUCAGGAUUAAAUUCCAAUCUUUUUAGUGUGGGUCAAUUUUUGAAAGAAGGUCAUUCGCUUAUUUUUGAAGAUUCUAAGUGCACAAUUUAUGAAGAUAAAGAUAAAAAGAAUUUGCUUUUUGAAGUUCCAAUGACAGAAAAUAAAAUUUUUCCUGUUCAUGUUGCAAUGAAAGUAGUGCUAGAUGAUGAUUGGUUAUGGCACUAUCGAUAUGGUCAUUUGAGUUUUAAGGGACUUGAUCUAUUACAUAAAAAGAAUAUGGUUGAUGGUUUGCCUUUGGUGCAUAAUAAUAAUUCUGUAUGUGAAAGUUGUGUGCUAGGAAAGCAUCACAGGAACUCUUUUCCGAGAAAGAGCAAUAGGAGAGCCAAAGAACCAUUAGAAUUAAUACAUGCAGAUGUAUGCGGACCGAUGUAGACACCGUCGCUCAGCAUCAAUUACUACUUUGUAGUUUUCGUGGAUGAUUAUAGCCGGAUGACUUGGGUUUAUUUUAUCAAAAAUAAAUCCCAAGCUUUUGAUGUUUUUCAGAAAUUUAAAAAUUUGAUUGAGAACGAAUCUGGUUAUUAUAUUAGCACCCUUUGUACAGAUUGAGGGGAAGAAUUUAUUUCUAACAAGUUUGAAAAUUUUUGUAAGGCUAAUGGUAUCCACAGACAGUUGACAACCAGUUACACACCUCAGCAGAACGGAAUUGCAGAGCGCAAAAAUCGAAGUUUAGUGGGGAUGGCAAAAAGCAUGUUGAAAGCGAAAAAUCUCCCGAACAAAUUUUGGGCAGAAGCGGUAUCUACUGCAGCAUACAUUCUCAAUAGAAGUACAACUUUAGCGCUGGAGAAUAUUACACCUUAUGAAGUAUGGACGGGGUGGAAACCGAAGGUAAAACACUUUAAAAUUUUUGGAUCAGCUUCUUUUGUUCAUACCCCAUCACAAAAUAGGCAAAAAUUGGAUGAUAAUAGUCAGAAGUGUAUUUUUGUUGGAUAUAGUGAAAGAAGUAAAGCUUAUCGAUUUUAUAAUCCUACUACUAACUCUUUAAUUAUAAGUCGUGAUGCUAUAUUUGAUGAACAAAAAGCUUGGGAUUGGAGCGCAAAAGUGCAGGAUAAUCCACUUUUGAUAUUCGAAAAUGAAACUGCAACUGAAAAUAGAAACAAUGGCGAAAACACGACAAGCACAGAAACAACACCACAAGCUUCACCAUGAAUUUCACCAGAAACUUCUCCAGAGACAACGCCAAGAAAAGUAAGAUCACUUAGUGAAAUAUAUGAACAGUGCAUGUAUUCACAAUGUGGAGAAUCACAAAACUGCGAAAAGGUGGCAAAAUCUAAUGAUUGGUAUAAGGCGACGAACAAAGAAAAUGCAGCGUUAAGGAAAAAUAAUAUCUACGAGUUUGAUGAAUCGCCUAUAGAUAAAGAAGUUAUUGGAUUUAAGUUGAUAUAUAAGGCGAAAAUGAUAUUGAGAGAUUUGAAAGGAACAAGAGACCACCGGUUGUGGUAUACUAAUCCUAACGAUUUUUAUUUUGGUUAUUUUAAUAGUGGUUGGACAGAUUCAGUUGAUGAUCGAAAAAGUACGAGAAGGGUUCGAGUUGAUACACUAAGCAACCGAGGAGCAGAUGGCGGAUAUUUUCAUAAAGUCGCUAACAUUGGAGAAAUUCAUAUUUUGCCGAGAAAAGAUCGGUGUGAAGGACAUUAGCAUUAUGGGGGAGUGUUAGAGAUAAUGCUAAUUAGAUUAGGAUUAGAUUAUUUGAUAUUAUCCAUUAUUAUAUUCAGUUAUGGUUAAGAUAUAUUCGGUUAUUAUUUAAAUGAUGGUUAAGAUGAAAUCUAAUUAGAGUAGGAUUCUAUGUAAUUAGUUAUAAAUAGAUAGGUUGGGAUUAUUUGGUUAAUGAAGUCGGGAGUCGCCAUAAUUAAUUAGCGCUCGCCGAAGGUUGCAUAUGGUGAUGAGUUUUUUUCUUCAAUAAAGUUAUUUUGUUUUGCUUCCAUGACAACGUACCAGAUUCUUUGAUUUGUCUUCUUCCCCUCUCGUUUUUUCUAUUUUACUUUUUGUGGAGAUCUCUAUAUACCAUAACAAGUAUAUAGAACGUAUUUGUUGGUGGCCCAUCACCGUAACAAUGGUGAGCUGUGCUCCACCCACAUGAUCGAUUCUACAAAUGACUGGGUGUUAUCAUUGUUGCACUUGUGUUGCCUCUUUCACUCUCCAACUAAGGCAUUAGUGUGCAAACAUACUGAAUACCACAAUUUCUGCAUGACAGUGUGCAACGCAAUUGCAUACUAACUUGCAAGAAUGAGAUUUGGCUCUCUAGUACAAACCGAUGGCUUCCAUAGUAAGAAGCAAUGUCUAGUUUGGUUACUCUAGCAUUUUGAAGAGAGCGAACGAUAGAAUUUUAAUUAAUAUAGGAAUUGCAAUAUGCCAUUUGUGGGAAGCUUGUUUUGCAAGUGCAAAGCAAGAAAAAGGAAAUGUUGUUCAGCGAAGUUUGUAGUACUUACCCCAAAACAAAGAACUUGGGCAAAAACCUGAUGAUAAGAAAGUUAAGGGGAAUAAGCUCUUGAAUAAAAGGGAGAGAGAAGCUAAUAAUCCUGGGAAGGAAAAAAAAUAAAUAAAUGCACUAGCAAAAGGAACGUUGAGCAUUACAACGACAGUAUAUUUGGAUUGCAAGUGUAAAGCAAGAAAAGAAAUGUUGUUCAGCAAAGUUUGCAGUACUUAUCCCAAAAAAAGAACUUGGGCACAAAUCCGAUGAUGAGAAAGUUAAGGGGAAUAAGCUCUUGAAUAAAAGGAAGAGAGAAGCUAAUAAUCCUAGGAAGGAAAAAAAUAAAUAAAUGCACUAGAAAAAGGGAAUGAUAAGCAUUAUAAAGACGGUAUAUUUUGAUUUAAGGGUAGGUGUUGUAGUUGAUAAAAAAUCCCUAAUUUUUCGUAUUAAAUAGGCAUGCAAGAAUUAUAAGCUAAAUGGAAUAGAGCGAGAAGAACAUGGCAUCUCGAAUGACCAUGGAAAGGGAAGAACACGCACACCCCACUUUCUUCGCUUUGAAAGUGGAGUUCUACGCUUGUGAACGAAGAAUUAGGCAAGAUUAGCAGCCUAUACAUAUAUAGGAGCUUUCUUAAUAAAAUUCCUAGGUUAAGAAGUCAAGGAUGUGAUUCAACUCUCCUAUCAUUCUGAAAACUCUGUGAAUGCAUUAUUAAAACUAGAGCACUAAUAAAUUAGAUUUGUGAUUAAAAUUGCCACACCCUAAUAGUCCACAUCAGAUAGAAAAAGAAUUAUAAUUGUGAACAUAAGAGUUCAUAGACCCUAAUAAUAAUUAAUAGCUAGGCAUAAACAUUUUGGGUCAAUAGUUUGGAUUAUUAAUCUUUUGUAUCACAGCGAGUUCACCAACCAGAAGUGCGAAGUGGGGCUCACAUCUCCCCGUGGUCAUCUUGGUUGUCUUGGUUGGACGGGAAAAGGGCUGUGGCCGGGGUUGUGCCCAAAAGUGUGAGGGCGAAGUCGGCCACACAUUGCUUGGUGGUCAUCUUGGUUGUCUUGGUUGGAUGGGAAAAGAGUUGUAGCGGAAGUGCUAGAUUGGCCUCACAUCACAUGGUUGUAUUGGUUAGAUGGAAAAAGGAUUGCGAUUGUGAAUAUAAGAGACCAUGAAUUUUAAUAAUAAUAGCCAGAUUUAACCAUUGUGGAUCAGUAGUUUAGAAAGAAAAUGUUGGAUGGGAAAAAGAUUGUGAUUGUAAAUAUAAGAGACUAUGAAUUCUAAUUAAUAAUUAUAAUAGCCAGACAAGAAUAUUUUGGGUCAGUAGUUUGGGAAGAAAAGAAAGCAGAAAAUUGAUCAAUCCAAAAAAGGAAGCAAAAAACUGAUCAAUUCGAAAGUGUGCGAGGAACUGCCCUAAGGCAUAUUUCUAUCUUUGACGUAGAUUAACCAAGAGUACGUACUACCCCAAAGGUAUGUUCGAAACUCCUUAUCCUACGAGCACGACUGUGGCGGAGGUUAAUUGACGAAAAUUUUUUCAACACAUAGAUAAGUUGGGAUAUGUAAGGGCACUAUCAUGUGGCCUUUUUAUAGAUCCACAAAACCCUAACGACAUGUUUGGUUUAUGAUUGGAAUGGAAAUGAGAAAUGGAUUGGAUUGCUUUGGAAUUGGAAAUGGAUUGAAGAAUCAUCCAAAAAUAUUUGGUUCAUUAUUUGAAUGAAAAUUCAUAAAUUUUGAGAGAGGGUUUUGAUUAAGAGAGAGAAAAUUGAUGAAGGGAGAUGAGAUAGGUGUUGAUAAAAAAAAAUUUUGAAUAGUUUAUUUUCAAAUUGACCAAUCCGGAAUUCUAAGCCGGAUUGGAUCAUAAAUGAAUUUGACCAUUCCCACUCGGGAGUGGAAUGGGAACCAAAAUUUGAUUGCUAUAAAAUAAAUGACAAUUAUCGGAAUCAAUGAAUUACAUUCCGAUUUCAUAGUCUAAAAUAGAUGAACCAAACAUGCCGUAAAUGUAAGUCCCCUUUUAUAGUUCCAUAAAAUGCUUACAUUAAAGUCCACAAGGUGCACCUGAUGACACACACAAACAUUCGCAAAACACUCACGUUAUAUAUGCAUAAAAACCCUAAGGGUGCGUUUGGUUCGCAUUAUGAAAGAUUACUAGGAAUAAAAGAUAUCCGAGAAUCUUAUUCCUAUUCAUCCUAUUACUAAGAAUGUAAAAUUUCUGUGUUUGGUUCGCACAGUAAUAUUAAUUAGCCAUGUUAUUUAAUAUUACAAAAAAAAUAUACAAUUAAUUAAUUAAUUUAUUUAAUUAAUUUUAGAUAAUGUUACCAAAAGUUUCAACAUCUUUUUAGAAAAAAGGGAGAGAGAGUAUAAGUUAGAGAGAGAGAGAGAGAGAGAGAGAGCAUAAUUAAAAAAAUAGAAAGAAAAAUACAGUCGAAAUUAGAGGGAGAGAGUUGAAAUUUUAGAAAGAGAGAGAGAGAGAAAGCUUAGUUUAGAGAGAGAAAAAAAAGUUGAAUUUUAGAGAGAAAAAUAUGUUUAGAGCGAGAUAUAAGGUUAGAGUGUAAAGAAAAAUAAUAUCAAUUAGCCGGCGGGUAGGAAGAAAGAAAGAGAUUAGACAUAUUAUGAUUACCCCAAUUCAUUAAUAUGAGGAUACCCACCCUCCCUCAAGCGAAUGAGAUUAGUACUUUGGGGUGAAUCUUAUUCCCAAGUGAAUCCAAUAUUACCAACUAGAUUACUUAGUGCGUUUAGCCAAACACCGCCAUAUUUUUUUAUUCUUAUUGGAUUACUAGGAAUCUUUAAAAGAUAGCGCGAACCAAACGCACCCUAAUAUUAAAGUCUCCGACAUGCACCGAAAGAGACACGAGAACGUUCGCAAAACGUGCGCAUUCACCUGAGCAGACGCAAUAGAAAAAAAAUUAGAAACAAGUGAACUAAAUAAAUAAUUAUCAAGCAACAAUUAUUAAAAUAUUUUGGGUAAGUCCCGCAAUGGGUUGGUUCAGUUUAGUGCGUGCACACAAAUUAAAGAAUUUUCUCUCAAACCCAAUUCUUUUCUUCACAAGCCCGUAAGGGCUUAUGCCACACCCCCAAAUAUAAAUAGAUGUGGUUUUAUUUUCACUUGCAAUGUGAGAGUAGAAUUUCACCUUGACAAGAGGGGUUAUAGCUCAAGUUCAAAUUUCAUUUUGAAAUUGAAAGAGAAAGAGGUGAGAGGCACGAGAAAAAAAAGGAAUCCAAUUAUAGGUGAGAGAGAAUAGUUUUAAAAAAAUUUAAAGGAAUGUGGAGGGAAUUUUGGGUUCCCCCCUAAAUUUUCCUCCUAGAAAGGUCUCAUUUUGGUUGCAUUAAGAGUUUGCACGAGAAUAGUCCUUAAUCGAAUAAUUAUAAAAGAAUAAUAGAGAUCAGACGUGGAGUUACCGAGCACAACUCAAACCCACACAGCAUACGAGCGCAGCAGAAAUAGAAUCUUUUGUAGACGUAAGAGACGAGAACGAUCAUAGAAAAAUAAACACAAGAAUAACAAAGCAAUUAAGAAAAUAAAAAUCACAAGAACACAAGAUUUAUGUGGUUCGGUCAACCUUGAGUCGACCUACGUCCAUGGGUAAGACCACCUCAAUACUUUUUUUCGAUUAAUCCACGACACAAAAGUACAAAGAAAUAGAUUGGAUUACAAGAAACUCUUUCUCAGGAGCUCUCCACGUUUUCCUCUCAAAUGGGGAGUCUACAAUAAAGCUCAUAAUCUAAAAGAUUAAUUACAAGAGUUUAAAGAAUCCAAAAAUCUCAAUUCUAGUAGGAAACGAUCUUUGCCUUCCAUCCGAAUCUCCGAUUCAUAUCUAACCGUCUAUAUCCUCUUAGGAAUCCAUUUUAAAGUAAUUCUACACCAUCCCUUGUUGGCUUACAUAGCCCAGCAUCCUGCCCUAUGGCAGGAGGCCAUGUUGGGUCGAGUCAUAUUCGAAAUAGUGUAAGGCUGGAUGGGCCGAGUCAUAUUUGAAGUGGCGUGAGGCUGGUUCGGCCGAGUCACAAUCAAGACCCGUAGGCGUUGUAUCUGUACGCUUUAAAUGAAUUACUUGUGUUUUUCUAACAGCUCGAGUUUUUGAGAUUAAUGGUUAGCGCCAACGAUUCGAUAAAUGGUAUCAGAACCAGAGGCCACAGGUUCGACUCCCGCAUGCUGCAAAUGUGUGCAGGUGUUGGAGGGAGGAUUGUUGGCUUAAAUAGGCUAGCAUCCUGCCCUGUGGCGGGAGGCUAUAUUUGGCCGAGUCAUGUUCGAAAUGACGUGAGGCUGGGUAGGCCGAUCGAGUCAUGUUCAAAGUGGCGUGAGACUGGUUGGGCCGAGUCACAAUCAAGACCUGUGGGUGCUGUUUCUGUACGCUUUAAGUUAAUUGGUUGCGUAUUUCUAACAGCUCAAGCUUUUGGGAUUAAUGGUUAGCACCAACGAUCCGACAAUCCCUAAUCUUUUGGAACAAAAUUAGAUCUAAUUAGAGUCAAGCUCUGCAUAUCCAAUCCGUCGCGGAAUUGCGUACCCGUACUCAAAGUCGCAUCCCGGUACUCAAUACAUAAACAGAAUAUGGCGUAUCAGUACACCAAGUCGCAUACCGGUACUCAAUACAAAAAGCAGUUUUUCAGCUUUCGGGUUUUGAGGUACUCCUGAGGAACUGUUGAGGUACUCAAUAGUACCGGUACUAAAACUUCAGGUACAGGUACCCAACAUCCAGAAAUCCCAAAACUUCGAUGUUUUUACCGUGACAUCGACUUGGGACAUGGCUUUACAUAAUCCAACAAAAUCUACUAUUGGACUCAGACCUAAUAGACUUAAGCUUUUAGUUGAAUGUGUUCCAUCAGAUAUAUCAUAUCCUUUGGCUUAUGCAGGUGUGGACUAAACCUAGAACUUAUUAACAAUGGAUAUUUGAUGGUUAACGAUCAUGGGCUACUUGUCUAACUGGCAUGGUGCGAUCGAGUUUGUGGCUCUUUGAAGAUUCUAAGCUACUUGUCUAGGUGGUGUGGUGUGAUUAAAUUGGUGACGGUUAUGGACAUGACUGGUUCAUAGAGCGAAGUCAUGGUCACGAUAUGAUGGUUUAAUGCACUAAAAAGAAUUGAGCUAAAAAGGUGCAUGUUAAGCGUAUAGGGUAAAAUGGUUAGUGCAUUCAAAAGCAAUCAAGCUAGGGAGGCACAAGUUAGGGCACAUGGGCUCAAAUGAAUUUUUGAGUGGCCUCGGUUAAAAAAUGCAUGGAUUCAGAUGAAAAGUAAAGAAACUUGAAGGGUAUGUUUUGGAGAAGAACCGAAAAAUUGGCUUGAUACAACUCUUAAAGAAUAAAAAAGAAAAAGAGUUCAACGGGCAGUUGAUCGUCCAAAUGUGAAAGAUGAAGAAUGUUAAGAGUUCACAUAUGAAUAGUCCCAUAUCAAAAAAUUAUAAACAAGUAAAAGUGUUGACAUAUGUUAGUGGGCUCAGAUCUAAAAGGUUCAUGUUUUUUUGUUGUAUGGAUUCUAUUACAUAUGUCAUGUUCUUUGACUUAUGUGGGCAUGGGCUGGCCCACUACUUAGUAUCAGAUUGUGGGUUGUCAAAUGAGCACAAUAACGCAAAUGCACACCCACAUAUAAACAGCAGUAUGCAUGCACGUACCCACACACACUAUACAUAUAUAAAUAUAUAGACACUAUAGACAUAUCCAUGCUGAACGCAUGCAUAUGAAGAUACAAACAUAUAGACAUACAUUUAUUUAUUUCAUCAUUAAUAUAGCUGGUGAUAUAUUUGCUCAUCGUAUUGUAUUUGUUGCUCCCUUUUUUGGCCAUACUCAUGCCUUGGAUUAGUUAUAAUAAUUUAUAGUGUUUUUUUUUGUGCAACAAUUCAACAUUAGAUAUUAAUAUUUGUAGAUUCUUUAUUAUGCCGUGAAUUAUUAUCAAUAUCUAGCAAAAUCUAGCAUUACUAAAGCACGGUUUCUUGUACACAAAUUUGAUUCCAAGAGAAUCUAAUGGUUCUAAAGUUCUUUCAUGCAAAAAACCGAAAUAGCAACUUAAAAGGCAAUAAUACAGAAGACUAUGACACACAAGAUAACAGUUUUGUUGCACUCAUAUCAUAGGGUUUGAAAGUUGAUUUUUGUUGAAUAUAAAUAUUAAAAAUUACUGUUCUCUAAUAAAUUAAACUUUUGGAGCACAAUAAUUAUUUUGCGCAAUUUAAUAUGAUAUCAAAGUCGAAGGUCCUAAGUUCGAGUCCCGCCAGACUCCUAGUUAACUUCAAUUAAUUUCCUUCCAAGUCCAUGUCUUGGACUUAUCGAAAGUCUCGAGUUUAGAAAUGAUCGAGGAUGAGUAUUGAAUAUAAAUAUUAAUAAAUGUACCAUUCUCUGGUAGCUUAAUUAAGCAUUUGAAGAACAAUAGUUAUUUUGCAUAAUUUGACAAUUUCAGUACUUCAAACUUUGCGGAACUCAAAAUAACAUGCUAUAGUCUUAUACGUAUAAACGUACAUGCUUAUUAUUAAUCCUUCCUGCAUCAUCUAGCACAUCCAUAGACAGUUAUGACCAUCUCUUGUAUUCGUAAACAUGCAAUGCAAUCAACGCUUGAUGGAAAAUAAAAAUUUCCAGGAAUUAAAUUUAUCAUAUUAGAAAUUAUUCGUUAACUAAAAGACCUAGAAUAAAAGAAUUGCAACCAUGCAUAUUCUGAAGAGAUCAUUGACAAUGUUACCUGAGUCUCCUUUGAUAUAAUAUUUGUUUCCGGCGCCCCAUAAUUGCAUUUUUGGUACCUCUCGAGUGUCUUCAUCAUGCUGUAGAUUUAGCCAGUAGGCUCAUUAGAAGGCUUAUUAAAAAUAACGAAAGUUAAUAACCUAAACAAAAACAGUUUGAAAAAUCUCAAAUAGUCAAAACUUUGUUAUGCAUCAAGAAAAGCAUGGAACUGCAUUUAACAUUCUUGAAUUUUUUUUAUUCCACAAAUAUAGAUGUGUCUUAAAAUAUCUAUUAACGACUUCUCCAAUAUAAGAAACGGAAGUAAUAAAUAACUAAGCCAAUAGUUAAGUUUUCAUAUAGUAGAUUUUAGGACAUGAGUAAUAAAUUGUGAGGAGUUGCCAAUUAUUUGCACAGAAAUUUCAUCUUUGAGUCCUGUUGACUCACAUAUUAUUCCGAAAAGUCAUGAAUGAUGAUGAGGAUGUAACUUGUUCUCUCUUGAGUGCUCCGAUCGAAAUUUUUAGAAAGAAUCGGAGAGAAAUACGACUGAUAGAAGUAGAAAAUGCAUAUUUUAAUGGAAAUUCCAUUAUAGAAUUCUAAGCUAGAGAUCAUGCGUGCAUUUAGAGAUAAACCUAGCUGAUCUCAAAGUUUAAUGAUCAUUAACGGGAUGUAGAUGACAUCUUAGAGCUAAAUUCCAUGUCUUCUUUUAAAGCACAUUUUAAAAUGUAUAAUCAAAAGAUAUAUUAUAACCAGAAAAGCGUUUUUUUUAUAUAUUUCAAAAAUCGCCAUGACAAAGCAAAGGGUCAAUCAUGAAGUGAAAUCACGCAAAAUUCAGAUUCGGUUUUGUCAUGCACUCACUGCUUAAACACGCACACACAUUAGAUAUGAAAAGAAAAUCCCUAAUGACCAAAAAACAACAAUUGGGCUCUUUGGGAGAAUCAAAAAAGGAACUUCUGUAAAAGAGACAACAUACAAAUUGACGAUUCCUAAACUUAGCAGUGCGAAUUUUCAUGAUGUCAUGUCAAGAAAAGACCAGUUUUUUUAGAAUUUCUUUGCCAUGAGGAAUUAUUAUUGCACACAUAUUACGAAGCAAAAGGAAAGAUCUGAGGCUGUACGUUGCUUAUGUUUCCAAAAAGAAAUUCUGAAGCUAAGAGCUAACCCUAAUUUCUAAAGGGUGAUACGAUGAGAGUUUGAAGCAAAUCGCAAACCCUAACUCCUAAAUGCGAUGCCUUUUUCACUCAUCAUCCACACAUCAAAACGUGAAAGCAAGGGGUUGUAAACUCUUAAUAAAGAGGUUUUGAGGCAAGAUCCAAGGAAAACCCCCUAGGAUCCAAGAAAGAAUUAGAAAAGAGAUCUCGAUCUACUUAUCUGAUCAUUUUGGCACGAAAAUGAGAUCUUCUCCUUAUUACCAAAACAAGAAGCCAAAAGAAGUUGGAAAGACCUUAAAAAUCUCAAAACCCUAAAAAGAUCAGCUUCUUCGGAGCUGAUCUAAGUGUAAAAGAUAAUUAGUUUCCUUUCUUUUCUCGUUUAUUAAAUCUACUUUUCCAUUUCCUUCACCGAAAUGGAAACCUAGCGCAAAAGCAGCAGCCACAUGCUCCAAAAUUCAAAUCCGGAAACCGAUCAAAGAACCACAAAAUCGGAUCAGCUAACCAAUCGAACGCAAAAGCAGCAACCAAAACAAAGAGACCGUAGCCGAUCUAACAGGAAGGAGAUCGGAGAUCGGAGAUCGAAGUAGCCGAUCGAUGGAUUCACCUGGAGCUGCUGCAGAACUCGUAGAGCUUGCCCCGGUUGGAGAAGAUAAUGAGGGCGACCUCGGCAUCGCAGAGCACGGAGAGCUCGUAGGCCUUCUUGAGGAGCCCAUUCCGGCGCUUCGCGAAGGUCACCUGCCGAUUGAUCUUGUUCUCGAUCCGCUUCAGCUCCACCCUCCCCCUCCCCAUUCCCCAAAACCCUAACCCACAACCCAAAACGAAGAAGAAGAAGAAGAAGAGAUCAAGAAGAGGAAGAGGAUGAAGAGGAAGAAGUGUAGAGCUAAAAGGAGAAGCUUGUGUUUUGGAGAAGUGCGGAGAGGAGAAGCCCCCUCUUUGCUAUUUAUAGACAUGCGAAAGCGAGAGCUCGAAAAGAAGGAGCCCUAACAAGCUAGCGCCAUUCCCUUUCCUUAAGCUAAAAUUGCAUGGAGACCCCCUCCACUAUUUUUUUUUUAAUUGAGACCCCUUAACUUCGAAUUUGUUUAAUUUAAAUAUAUAUAUAUCAUAUUUGAUAGUUCCUUUAGUUAUUUAACUAUCUCUUUAGUUAUUUAACUAUCAUUUGGCUUAACUUUAUCAAUAAAUUAGGUAAAAUUUCUAAAAUCCGUCGAUACAAAAUAAUCAGAACUCGAGGGAUCUGCACGCAUUUUUACAAAAUAAUCAUUUAAUUUGGAUAUUAAAUUAAAAAUUAAACAAAUUGAAAAAUUAUUACUACGUGGUUCCCUUUUCGCGGUUCUUUUUAUUAUUUUCCGGACACUCGUCGUCCCCUCGUCCACUGCGGGGUCCACCGUCCGAGCGCAUCGUAUGCGGAGAGAUUAAUGUACGGAGGAGAUUCGCUUACUAGUUGAAUUCGACGGCGGGUGAUGAGGUCGCAUAGGAGGCGAGGGCGGGGUCGGGGAAGGGCGGGGACCUGACGCGAUGGGGGCGUCGCAUUGAAGGAGCCGGUCCCCGGUGGGGUCUGCGUACGUGUCGAGCGCUGAGUGGUGGAUCGGGUGAAAUUGAUUAGCGGGGAAUUACGUAGCUUUUUUGUUAUUGGUGGGAGACAUUCGGAGAAACUUGCCUACACCUCUGGGUGUGGACAAUUCCUACGACCCCACACCUGGCCCAAUAGAGGAAAGCCACGUGGCACUAAUAAUUCUAAGGAACCACGCUUUGAAACAUGCUUGAAAAAGAGAAAAUAAUCAUUUUAAAUUACAUAUCCAACUUUUUAAAAUUUUAAUCUUACUACUCAAUUUUUCUAAUUAUUUAUUUUAAUAAAUUUAUAGUUGUGAGAAUCGUGUAAAAUAUACAAAUUAAAUUUAUAAAGAUAAAUGAUCAAAAUUUAAACUAAUUGCUUUAUCUGAUUUUUGGUUACAAGAAUUGCACAAAGAUAUAUACUAACUAUACUUGUAAAAAUAAACGAUGGCUUUAAAUUUUGAAAUCAAAAUAUCGCUGGUUAACUCAAAUCAAAUAAAUUAAAAUUUUAGAUAAUAAAAUUAAAAUUUUGAAAGAUUGAUUAGUCAACACAAAAUAGUUAAUAAUUCAGGUAAGUUUUGUACUUCUUAUGGAAAAGAAAAAGAAAAAUGCACAGGAGACCCCCUCAACUAUAGAUCAUGCAUUUUAAAUUUGCCCCUUAAUUUCAACAUUUCUUUUUUUUUAAUUUACACCUCUCUAACUUUCAGUUUUUUAAAAAAAUAAGAUUAUUUUAGUUGACAAUUUUAUUAUAUUUACUAGCUUAUUAGCCACUAGCCAUUAAUUGAUUUUAUUUUAUUUUCUAAAAAAGAUUAAAGCUAAUUAUAAAUUGUAAAUUAACCAAAUUUAUUGAUAAGUUUUAUGAGGUUUGUAAAUUUGAUUAACAAAAUUAUUGAUAAAUUUAUUAAUUCUAAAAAACUAUCUCAAACCAAGCAAAAUAUUUAAUCAGCAGAAGAAUUUAAAUAACAAAAAGUUAAAGUUAAGAUAUCUCUUUCAAAAUGGCAUAUAUCAACCAAAAUUCUAGAGGAUUAAGCCGAAAUAUUCUUCUAGAACUUCAAGACAGAAAUUUCAAUUUCAAACUUUUGUUUGUAUGUAACACCGAGACAGAGUUAAGAGAAUUUUAUGGAAAAAUAUUAUCAGAGUUUCUUCUUUUUUUUUCUUUUUUUUUCUUUUUUUGGAGAGAUAGAUAUAUAGCAAGCUACCCGCUUCGUUUAUUUAAUUUAGAAAUAAACUUAGCUGAAAAUGUGAAUCAACUGGAAUUCAAACUUGGGACCUCGGGUACCAACCACUAAGCCCUUUGCCACUUGCUCUAGGGACAGUCGGUACUAUCAGAGUUUCUUCAAUAUUAGAGAACUAUAUCUUGCUAUAGCAGAAGCCCAAAACUUUUGUUUGUCAAAUACUAGGGUGCGUAUAGCAAACGUCAAGUUACGUCAGGCCGGAAAGGCAUAUAAACACCAUAUAAACCAACUGUAGUCCAAUUUGUGAACUCCUAGUAGUUGGUUAAGUUAGCAUGGCCAGAACUCGAUUCGUAGUGUAAACAGUUCGACUUCAGCAAACUAAGAUUAGUAUUCUAGGUUUGACUCGAGUGAAUCAAACCCAAACCUACCCACAUAUGGAUCGAUAUUGAGUCCUUUUUUCGGCCUUAAUCAAUUAGUUGUUCAUUAUUCCUCAUUACAUGAGUUUUAGCUUGAUCCGUUGUUAUAAUGGGGCCUAAUGUUGGAGUUUCUUUUUACUUUUUAACAUCCAAAUUCGAAUUUUUAAUUUUAAGGAAAGGUAAAUACAAGGAAGGUGAGACCUAAGGGCUUUAUAGAACAUAUGUAUAAUAGAAAUCUAACUAACUAUAUUAGGGUUUUAGGGAGCAAUAAGCACGAAGCUCAACAUUUGAUAGGUUAUCGACCGUAGCUAGGGCAGUUGGCUAAGGGCUUAAUAGUUGAUAUCUAAGAUUUCAAAUUUCAAGUCUAUUUGCUUCAUAUUUCUAGCCGAGUUUAUUUCUGAAAAAAAAAAAGAAAUAAACGAAGACAGCUUUCUAUCUUUCUAUCUCAAAAAGAAAAAAGAAAAAAACAUUUGGUGGGUUAUUUUUAGGAACAACCACCAUAUAUGAGAAAAAAGUACCAACAGUCAAAAGUGAAACUACUUUUUAUCUUCACAAAACUCAUCCCCAUGGUUAAUGGGAAGUUCAUGGUAUCUGUCCCAAAUACUAAUUAUGGUGCUCUUCCUUACAAAAGGAGAAAAAAAAAUAUAAUGGGCAAGUACUUCAUAUAUUAUAUAUAGGCUAAAACCCAGGAGAACCAAAUGUGAAUAAAACUAAGUUUAAAAGAUAAAAUUCAACUGAAUGUACUCAAUUGUGUUGUUUGGUAAAAGAAGGAAAGCCAUUUCAACAAGUUCUGUUAUUCCUGGUCUGAAAUAAUGAGAGGAAGGAGAGUUUAGGGUUUAGGGUUUAGGGUUUUCAGGUUUAUGCCUUAGGCACCUUAAAAUUAAGCCAAACAAUUGUAUGAAAUUCUACAGUAUUUUUUUGAGGUUUUCAAACAGGAUGUGUUAAGUUAUUAUUAUACGUAACAUGGAAAUAAAGAGAUUACAAUCAAAAGGAGUUUUCUAUAGGAAAGAGAGAUGAGGAAAAUUCAAAAGUGAAAGGUAUGUGUGAUCUCAAUUGUUAUCUUCUAAUUCAUUAGAAUUUGCUUUCCCAUGCAAAAAAGUUAUUCAUAUAAAGGGAAAGUGACAAGUGCCCACCGGCCAAUAGAAAGCUAGAAUCCACUUAAGAGAUGUGGAUAGUCAUAAAAGAUCAAAAAUGACUUGAACUAACCUGAUAGUACAAGAGGAAUAUUCUCCUUAAGGUAUAGAUCUCUUAAUUUAAACAAGAUAAUAUAUGGAUUGGAUAUUUAUUCAUAUAUUCUUGGCAAUUUACAUACAAGCAUAAUCUCAUAUGGAUGAUAAUUCGAAGAGUAAAGGGUUGAUAUAUAUGUUUUUCUAGGUCCAAAUCUAGAAGGUUAUUUUCUUGGUUUGAUUAUAUCUUUGUUUAUGUGGGUUUCGACUGUGCCUAAUAUCUCUAUUGGAUUAUGUAAAGUUCAUGUUCCGAGUCGAUAUCAGGGUGAAAAAGUCAAAGAUUUGAGGUUUUUGAAUCGGAACUUAAUUUAUGUAUUGAUAUUGAAGAGUGCCUGAGGAGUUCCUUAGAACCCAAAGCUUGAAAAACUAUUUUUCGUACUACGUACUUGUACGCGAUAUUUGAUGUUCUAGAAAAGAAUCAGUACUGGUACUCCAAGCUAAGUACCAGUAUUCAACUCUGCGACGGGCUGGAUAUACUGUAUUUAACUCAAAUUAAUCUAAUCUUGUUCCUUAAGAUCAAAUAUAAUACAGAAACACUGUGGAGAGGAUUUUUAAGAGAAGAUCGACGGCUAGAAGUGAAUCGGAGACUAGUAUGGACGGCGGAGAGCAUUUUCUACAAAGAUUGAAACUUUAGGAUUAUAUAAAUGCUUAUAAUUCAUAUCUUAUAUAUAGUAAGAGAUUCAUUAUAGAUACCCUAUUUGAUAGAAAAACAUGGAGAGCUCAUGAGAGAGUUUUUUGUAAUUCAAUAUAUUUCUUAUACUUUUGUGCUGUAAAUUAAUCGAAGAACAUAUUGAGGUGUCUUGCCUGUGGACGUAGGUCGACACAUUAUUGGCCAAACCACAUAAAUCCUGUAUUCUUGUGUUCUUUUGUUUGUUCUAUUGCUUUGUUAUCCUCAUGACUGUUUUUAACGAUUGUUCUCGUUUAUUUUCAUCUACGAAAGAUCCUAUUUCCGCUAUGCCUGUGUGCUAUGUGGAUUUGAGGUGUGCUCGGUAACUUCUCGGCUGGUCCCUUCAAUCUCUGACAAUGGAUUUCAGAGCUAAUGGUUGAAAAUUUCUAGCUAGGUUACACUUUUAAGCAACAUGGUGUGACCGAAUAAGUGGCUCCUAUAAAGAUGGCAAAAUCAUAGAGCAAGGGUCACGACAACACGACAUAAAAUUGUGACAUGCUCAAAGGAGCGAGAUCAUAAGCUCAAAUGAAUCGAUUCACAAUGAUUCAAUUAACAUGGACGCCCGGUAGUUGCAUUUGGAUUCAUAUAUGUGGGUUUGAACAGGUUGAAACUCCACAAACACAUAGAUUUUUAUCCAUGGAACCAAAUGCGCACGGUCGUAGAUAUUUUCGGCACGCCAUUCUCUUCUACAAUACGCAAUAUCUAGCACCUGCAUUUUUUUUUAAUAGAUUCUAGCUAAGCAAGGCAUACCUUUUCAGUUUAGAAACACCCCAAAAAGGUCAAUCAAUCCUAUGUAUAUAUGUAUUAAAUAUCUACUAUUUACACUAUACCUACCAAGGGAACAAUUUUGUGUUUAUGUUAUGUCUUGCAUUUUUUUUUAGUUUUAAUACUCUCAAUAUAUAGUCAUUUUUUUUCAGUUGAAGUGCCCAUAAAUGUUCCUCAUAACAUAAUUUUCAUGUAUAUAUUGGAUCAACAUCCCAAAUGGAAGAUCGUAUACGUUUUAUGUGAGCAUUAUCGCUCUAUAAUUUUCGAUCUUAUGUGCUAAUUGGAUUUAAGAUUGGAUAAAGUUUACUAAAACAUUUUUGAAAAACUAAUUUUUGUGUAGAUUAAUUAAUUAAAAUGGCAUUGUUCUUGUCAUGUGUGUUAAGGUCCAAUGGUCCAAAGGAGGCCGGUAUUGAGUGCCGCUUAAUAUUAUUAGAUUAAAAAGAGUUUUUUUUUUUUUUUUUUUGUGUGUUAAGGUCCAAUGGUCCAAAGGAGGCCGGUAUUGAGUGCCGCUUAAUAUUAUUAGAUUAAAAAGAGUUUUUUUUUUUUUUUUUGAGAAAUAGGUAGCACGCUACCCGCUUCGUUUAUUUCAUUUAGAAAUAAACUUAGCUGAAAAUGUGAAUCAACUAAGAUUCGAACUUGGGACCUCGGGUACCAACCACCAAGAGCUUUGCCACUUGCUCUAGGGACGGUCGGUUAUUAGAUUAAAAAGAGUUUAAGGCUGACAGAGAUGUGCUUCUCUAUUUUCUGCUGAUCCACCACAAAAAUUUUACAUCUUUGGACCAAUCCAAGAGUUAAGGCAGAUAGAGAUGUGCUUCUCCAUUUUCUGCUGAGACCACAAAAAGUUUACAUCUCUGGACCAAUCCUGGCUAUUAAUUACUAAUAGAAAAAAUUAAAUGGAUUUUUUCACUGCGCCCUGCGCAGACAAAGACACAUAGUGAGAGGACAAAUUGACGAAUUAAGUGUCAAACAACUAAGAUUGAGUUCUUUAUUAGUGAGAGGAACAAAAGGGAACCAAAUUAACUGUAGAUAUAAUUAACGGCAACUAAUUGGUAUAAUGUUUCUUUCUAUUACAUUCCAUCAAAUAAGAUAGAGACGUGACUGAAAGAAACGAAAGAUAGCGAUGCAAGAUAAAUAUUUUAGAUGCCGCACAUCUUGUGCCAUCCUUUAAAACGUAUGGAGACCCCUCAACCCUCUCAUUUUUUAAAUAUUUGAUUGAGAUAUCUUCAACUUAUAAUAUUUUCGGACCACAAAAUAAUAAAGUAAAGCUACGUUAAACUAAAGGGAGAAAAAUUUACCGCAAUGGUACCGAUUUAACGGGAAAUCCGUCCGGAUAGUUUGGUUCAAGGUACAAAAUUAUUUUCUUUCUGGAAAAAAAAUUAGUAAAAGUUGUUCAAACUACCCAGUUUAUGCCACAAACCGAAUGAACCAGCCGGCCCACUAAAAAGUAUGGGCGAGGAAAGAGGAAAGUAAAGGUUUCUUGGACUCCUCAUCUGCGCUCGACGACCGGUAACUACAAUACAGUCUGUUCGGCCGCAGUUGAAUCUCUCACUCUUAAACCUAUGCUCUGACCUGUUCGAUUCUCCGAACAUCGGUUUACAUUUACGAGUCGAACUAAUUAAAAUUACAUCUAAAAAUAUUACUAUUCACACGCAUCAUGCAACUUUUAUCUUCAAAUAUUUGGAAGAGACAGGAGCAUGAAACUGCCAGCCUCUCAUCAGCAGCUGAAAGAAGUCUCAGUUCGGCUCCUAGGAAAAGGGCAGACAGCAGUCGGAGUCACCUCGCGGGGCGACGCAGGCCCACUUUAUUCUUUUUAGUACUUUGUCAUUAAGGAUGUCACAUCGCUUUUCUUCUCUCCUCCUCGCUCGCCACGCCACAUUGGGUCCAUCCCUCUACCCAUCAACCAACCAUUUCAAUCACAAACGAAAAAGAAAAAAGCUUUAAAAAAAAAAAAAAAGGAAAAAAGAAAAAGAUUGGUAGAUAGAUACACACAACCACCUCCACCACCCAUUUCCCAUCUCCCUCCAUUACUCUCUCUCCCGCUCUCUCUCUCUCUCUCUCUCUCUCAAAAAUUAUCGCCUGCACCCGGUGUAUAGGUGUUUGGAAAUACCGAUCCCGAAUGCGUACAUGUCGAGUUUUCGCAGUACAAAAGGAAGUACUCCGUCACUUCCACCGAGCACAAUUUCGAAAUCUUAAACACUCUUUUAAUUUACGUACUGCAUUUGAAUCAUCUAUGUAUAAAAAAAAUUAAAUCAUAAAUUUUGAAACUUACUAUCUAUUCAUCGAAUGGUAUAAAAAUUAGCGUUACAUAAAAUAACAUUAUUUGAACUUUUUAUAUAUAGGCGCGAUGGCAUGUAAAAAUAAUAGAACUAAAUACAUACUAAUGCCCAGGAUCAUAAACAGAAUAAAAAUAACUCAUAGAGCAUCAUAUAAAAGAAAUUCUCGAUCAAUCCGCAGAAACGCGAAGUCCGGCUGCGAUAUAAAUUAAUGUCACUCACUGAACUAGGUUAUAUUUCUCUUUCUAUCUCAUACACCCUCCCAAAUGGUAUGAAACAUAGGGUGCGUUUGGUUCGCAUUAUGAAAGAUUAGUAGGAAUAAAAGAUAUCCGAGAAUCUUAUUCCUAUUCAUCCUAUUACUAAGAAUGUAGAAUUCCUGUGUUUGGUUCACACAGUAAUAUUAAUUAGCCAUGUUAUUUAAUAUUACAAAAAAUAUACUAUUUAUUUAUUUAUUUAUUUUUAGAUAAUGUUACCAAAAGUUUCAACAUCUUUUUAGAAAAAAAGGAGAGAGAGUAUAAGUUAGAGAGAGGGAGCAUAAUUAAAAAAAAGAAAGAAAAAUAUAGUCGAAAUUAGAGGGAGUGAGAGAGUUGAAAUUUUAGAAAGAGAGAGAGAGAGAGAAAGCUUAGUUUAGAGAGAGAAAAAAAGGUUGAAUUUUAGAGAGAAAAAUAAGUUUAGAGAGAGAUAUAAGGUUAGAGUGUAAAGAAAAAUAAUAUCAAUUAGCUAGCGGAUAGGAAGAAAGAAAGAAAUUAGACAUAUUAUGUUACCCCAAUCUAUUAAUAUGAGGAUACCCACCCUCCCUCAAGGGAAUAAGAUUAGUACUUUGGGGUAAAUCUUAUUCCCAAGUGAAUCCAAUAUUACCAACUAGAUUACUUAGUGCGUUUAGCCAAACACUGUCAUAUUUUUUUAUUCCCAUUAAAUUAUUAAAAAUCUUUAAAAGAUAGCGCGAACCAAACGCACCCAUAUAGUAAUUUUUUUACCAAAAUGCAUAUGAGAAGGUGACAAGAUCGGUACCUCUCUAUAUAAAAUUUUGAUAUAUUUCUCAUCAAAGUCUCAUUAGACUUCUAUUUAAUUUAAAUAGAUGAAAAAGAAAUAAAAUAUAUCAUAUCAAGCAGUUUUAUAUUUGAUAAGAUUGACUUUUAUUUAUAAUAAAUUUAGAUUUGAAUGUGAUUAAUUGGGUCAUAAUUUUUUGGCUUCGAAUUUAGAACAUGAUCACUAUUAAGCCCUCAACCAGCUGCACUAGUAGAAGUCAAUAUCAUAAUUUUUUUCUUUUUUUUUUAAGGAUACAAUGUAUGAAAUAUACUUAGACAUCUGGAGCACGUACCUAACUAUUUCUCUUCUCUCUGCGAACCAUGGAUGGACCAGUACGUACGUGUAGCCUGGUGAGAUGCAUGUUAAUGCUCGAUCGGUGGUCCAUCAACAAACACUCCCACGCUAGGAUUCAGGUACCAGCAGGGACACCCUAUGUCCAGUGCAUGUGAUUUGAUUAGACCACUCUGUUAAUUGUUUCUCAUAUGUAACGCAUUUGACAUAUAUCUCGAAGUGAUGUUAAUAUUCUCACUUUUUGAAUUUUAUUCACUUAAAUUUACUUUAAUUUAUCUGAAAAAAAUAAUCAGAUUCCACUAAUUAUAUUUAUUAUUAAGGUUUAGUUUGGUAUUGAAGUCCAUCUGACGCUAUUAAAUAAAAUAGAGUUGAUAUAAAAGUAUAUAGAGAUAUUCUUCUACGUUCUCUGGUGGAACCGCAAAAGAUAUAUCGUAACCGACUCAUCGCGAUAUACGGAAUGCAAUAUUAUAUACGAAAACAAACAUGAUAUUUUUCUAUCAUACUUUCUCACCGCACAUAACACAAUCUUCCCAUAAUCCCAAACGAAAUUUAAUACUAAAAUCAGCUCUAACUUUGGGAUGUAGAUAGAUUCAUAUUGAUAGAGCUCUCCCCACAAUCCGCUUUUAAUAUAGUAAUUAAGGCUUAGUUUAGUAUUAAGGCUAAUAUGAUGCUAUUAGAUAAAAUAAAAUUGGGAUAAAAGCAUAUAGGGAUAUGUUUCUGCGUUCUCCGAUGGAACCGUAAAAAAUAUAUUAUAACCGACUUAUCGCAAUAUGCAAAAUGCAACAUUACAUACGAAAACAAAUAAAAUUAUUUUUCAUUGUACUUUCUUUCCGCACGUAGCGUAAUCUCUCCGUAAUUCCAAAUGAAGCCUAAGUAGAGGACAAUAAACUUAUUGGGGUAGUAAAUGAGAGCAUUUUAUCACCGGAGAAGGACUUGGUGUGAUCCAAUGAAAAAUUGAUCUGCUUAGAAUCCGCUCCAAAUUCGGCUUUAAUAAAUAUCAAAACUAUAAGGUAACUUCUAUUUUUUCUUAUGCAUUAAUUAGUUAUGCUCUAAUUGUUAUUUCUUUCUAAAAUAAAUAUGAUUUAAAAAAAAAAGUUAUUUUUAUAAGUUUCUAAAAUUUAUAUAAACUAAAAUUAUAAAAAAAUAUAUUUCACUUAAAUUGGAAUAAAAAUGAAAAAUAAAAUGGUGAUUACGAUGCAGAUUUAGGGUGCUGACAUAAGGCGGAUUUUUUUUUUUUUUUUUUGAGAGAUAGGUAGCACGCUACCCGUUUCGUUUAUUUCAUUUAGAAAUAAACUUAGCUAGAAAUGUGAAUCAACUAAGAUUCGAACUUAGGUCUCGGAUACCAACCACCAAGCUCUUUGCCAUUUGCUCUACAGACGGAUUUUUAAGUAUGGCAGGUUAUAGGACAAAUAUUUUAUCCUUUCAUGAAGAGGGGAUGAGAGGCGGGACGAAUUCAGGGUUAUUUGGUUGCAUAUAGUUGUAACUGUAAUGUAAUUAUAAUUACAUGCAUAUGAGCAUAUCCAAAUCCAACGUUUGGUUUGAUGGAUUUAAAUUUAAAUGUCGUAUUUAAAACUGCCUGAGGAGGCCCCAGCUGUAGCAAUUAAAACUACGCCCAAAUUGACCGCAAUUUUAAGUGCAAAAAUUGGAGAAAAUAAUUUUAAAUGAAAGAUAAAGUUACCUUCUUAAUAACUUUUUAAACAGAAAAUAUUUCUUUUUUUUACGUUGGAGGUAACUUUACUAUCAUACAUAUAUAAACAGGUGCAAUUUUAAAAAUAUCCUUCUCAACCGUAUAUAACUAAAUAAAUUAUUUACAAUUAUAAUACUUUCUACUACAUUCAAGUAAAUAAGAUACAUGUAGUUGUUAGCUACUGUAUUUCUAAUCGCAUGCAUUUCCAACUACGCGGUUUCUAAUUUCCCUUUAUAAAUAAUUGGGCUUUGGGACCUAAGUGUAUAAAACACGGCAGCGCAUGAAUCUCAGCGCCGACUUUACGUAUCUGAAUGAGGGCCCCGCCGAAACGGCGCCGACUUCGUAGACCCACGCGGACCACGGGGUUCUAUCUUCACUCCUCGUAGAGGCUUCAUCAGACCUUCGGAUCGAGCACAUUUGGGGCAUUUUGAAUGCAUGCUGGGACCAAUCAGGUAAGGCCACGUCAGCUUAAGAAUAUCCAAUUCAACUCAUGAAUAUAAUAAUAUAUUUUCAUCUGUAGCUUUGGGAACAAGAACGUCUCCUGGGCACAUUUAUUUCGCUUUGGUCCUCUUUAUAUAUCAUCCGAAUAAGUUAUCACGUAAUAAUUUACGUGUUAAAAUAUAAUAUUGGGCUAAUUUUAUUAGUAUUGAUCCUUUCUUAAAGAUCUAACCAUUAGUUACAUAAAAAUUCAUCGGAAUAUCAAAUAUAUUCUUCUAAUUUAAAAAAUCUAUCAUAAAAUAUCUAUAUCGAUAAAAAUUGAUAGAAAAUUAAGGGCUCAUUUCAUUACUGGUUUGUAAUAUUCAGAUAAUCAUUUAUAUUCUCCACCCUUUCACACUUUCUCACUCUAGUAGCCUGUGGUUUAAAAUGUAUCAAUUUAGUGCCCUGUGGUUUCAUUUUUAUUUUUUUAUUAUCGAUUCCACUAAUUUUUUUUGUUAAAUCAGUGACAAAGUUAAAACUAAAAAGUACUAAAAUGAAUAUUCUAUAAACCUAGAUGGGGUACGUAUUUGAAGUUUUUUGUAUAUAAUUUAACAAAAUAUUAACGAAAAAGCUGACGAAAAGAUAAAAUGAAAUCAUAGGACACUAAUUUGAUACACUUUAAGCCACAUGGUAAUAAAGUGAGAAAGUGCAAAACCACAUUGGUGGUAUUUACAGUUUACCCUUGAAAACAUUCAAAUCAUUGCUAUUCAACUCAAGAUGUUUAGUUGUAAAAGGUGUUAGAGUUCACUUGGUUUAAUGUAAUUAGAUAUACAAUAUAGUUGAAAAUGCAUGCAAGUGGAAAUGGAACUGCAACAGUUGGGUAUCCUCGUGCAUGCAUUUCCAACUGUAGCAGUUGAAUUCAAACUCGUUGAACCAAAUGUUGGAUUUACAUUUGCAUGCAUGUAGUUAGAUUUACAGUACAGCAGUUACAACUGAAUACAACCAAACAACCCCUUAGUGAAGUAGUGGAAUCAUUGUAGAUUCCUAGAUAGUAAAAAAUGAGUAGAGCUACUAUGCUAUCGGAAGCAUAGAGGAUCUGGUGCUUUCGAUUUUUUGGCCCUUAGAUCAAUUUCUUUAAUUAUUUCUAACAUUUGGAUUAAUACUGUUAACCUGUGGGGACCACUCAACCCUAGGGGUACUACUCAACCAUGGGGGGAUCGUAAUCAUUUCAACCGUAUAAUUUUUGAUCCAAUGGUCAAAAAGUUGGAAGCAUCAAAUUCUCUAUGCUUCCGAUAGCUUAGUAGCUCUAUACGUAUAAAAUUCUAGAUUAUUAUUAGUUAGGAAAUUUUUCGGAGGCCUUAGUUGCUUCCAUCAUGUACGCUCAGUUCAUAUUACUUAAUGAAUGAAACAGGUAGCUUGCUACUUUUUUCUCAAAAAAAAAAAUCAUUAGUUAGGAAAUAUUUUCAUUUCCAUAUUUGAAAAAAAUCAUUAAUAAUUCAUUAAAAAGAAUAUAUUAUAAGUUAACAAUCUCCCAAUCCAAAUUGCUUAAUAAAUUAAUUAGUAAUAAACAAUUGUCUUUCUAAAUAUAAAAUAUGCAAUACUUUUGAAAUAUUACAAAUCUUGAGCCAAACUGCCCCUAAAUAUAUAUAAUUUUCACUUUGUCCAUCAUAUAUUAUCUAUACCUUGUUGACAAACCAAAUUAAAGAUCUUCUGUUAGAAAACAAUUUAAACACAAUUAAAUGCAUGCUAAAUUGAAAUUAAUUGAUUAAAACAAAUUAAACUACAUAAAUAGUAAACGAAAAGAAAUCACAGUAAUCUAGACAAAAUAAAAAAUAGAUUCCACGUACAGAAAAGUAUAAUUAAUAUAUCUUCAGUUUUAAUUAAUUUUUAUUUAAGAUCAACAUGAGACCCACAUGCUAUAUAUUGAGUUAAAAAAAUAAUAGACUUAAAUAGACAAAUAAUACAUUCAUAAACUAAAUUAAAAACUUUUCCCUGAGAAAUAAAAUUAUUAACUCCAAAUAAUACUACAUAAUUAUUUAUAACUAGUUAUAAGUUGGGGAAAAUUAGUCUAAAACUCUUAAUCAAUGUGUUGAAGGGCAUUCUUGAUAUAAUUCAUUAAUUUAUAGUGGUAGAAAUGAUAUUAAUAAUUUUAAAGAAAUAUUUAUGAUAUUUUAUAAGUUCUGAGGGGCACAUUUGAAAUUAUUUAUUUGUGAACUCACUCUUAUUAUGCGGAUAUUGCAUUUGUAACACAUAUUAUUUGCAGUUUAAUAUACGAGUUUUGUGCGGUAAUAUUAAGUCCAUGCCAUACGCUUGUAACGUCUAGUACGUGUAAAUUUAUUUAAUACAUGAGUUUUGUACUUUGAGAAUUUUCUUUUGUGAUCAUUACUAGAGAGAGAUUUGAUUUCAGCUCCUCGAAAGUUCUUGACAUUUAUAAUUUAGUAAGAUAUUAUAUUUUCUCGUGAGUUAAUUUGUUUUAUUCAAAAAAAAAUUAAGGACAAAACAUGGUGUGUUUUUCGAGAUAUUUGAUAGUUUAUUCUAGACUCUAAACGCGGCCUAUGAAUAAACACUAACAAAUAAAAAUGAAGGUUCUAUGGUUGUUGGUCAUCAUUUUUUAUAUAAAUACCUAUUUUUUCAUAUUUUCUUUCUGAUUUUUAAAAAUCUAUAUUUUAUCCUCUCAAUAUUUCAAGUUGUUGCAUUUAAUUCCCUCCAUCAGAGCUUCAUCACUAUUUUGUCUAUUUCUUAUAAUUUAUACCAAAAAUUUUCAUCAAAAUAGCAAAUAUAUAUAUAUAUAUAUAUAUAUAGAGAGAGAGAGAGAGAGAGAGAGAGAGAGAGAGAGAGAGAGAGAGAGAGAGCUAGGCUGGUAUACUAUCGGUAGCACGGAGGCCUCUGUGCUAUCAAGUUGUUUUCAAUAAUGCGGCUUCCAAAUCGAUGAUCGGUUCCAUUAGACUUGAUCUACACUAUUAAAAGUAUUUGGAAACUAAAUUUCAUAAUUUUUCAACAUCAUUUUGCUAGUGAUUAAAAGGUCUCAAAAUUGACAAUUUUAAUAGUAGAUGUGAUGUAUUUGUGAAUUUAACGGUGUAAAACAAUCCAAAUUUGAUGAAAUUUUUAUAGAAAUUUUUUUUUACUAUUUAGAGUAAGAUCAGUACCUCUGAUCUUAAAUUUAAAUCUUUUAUCAUUAUUUUUUCUGAGAUUUUAUUUUCAGCCUUCAUUUUAGACUGCUCGUUUGAUAGGUAGAAAUAAUACUGAAAAAUUAUAGAAAUUUAGUUUCCAAAUACUUUCAAUAUGUAGAUCAAGUCUAACGAGCGAUCGUCGAUUCGGAAGUGGCAUAUUGAAAACAACUUGUAGCAGCGAGGCCUUCGUGCUACCGAUAGCAUACCAGCUAACUAUAUAUAUAUAUAUAUAUAUAUAUAUAUAUAUAUAUAUAUAUAUAUAUAUAUAUAUAUAUAUAUAUAUAUUAUAUGGUUAUUUGUAUAUCACGUCCACUGCAAACAAAGUGAAUUGCGGAAAUAUCUCUGCCCAAAGGGAAACUCCAUAAGUUGUCCCUGCAAAAGUCCUAAUUUAUGCAGAUAUGUCCCUCUGGUUAACAUCCGUUAGAGAACUGUUUAUUUUUUAACAGUUUUCUUGUGAAAUGACCAUUUUGCCCUCACAAAUAUAUCCCUCCAAAAUACCGUUCUUCCCCUUCUUUUUCUCUUCCUCUUUGGGCCGUAGGAGCGGACGACAGCGGCGGCGCGGGGUCGGGUUCGCCGACGACGAAGAAGAGGGAAGAGAAAGAAUGGAGGAAGAAGAAAAUGGAAGAGGAAGAGGGAGAAGGAGAGGGAAGAGAAAGAUGAAGAGGGAAAGGGUUCGCCGCCGCGCGCCGCCGCUGCAUCUCCUCCCUCGCCGGCGACAAAGAAGAGGGAAGAGAUAGAGGAAGAGGAAGAAGAAGGGUGAAGAGGAAGAGGGAGAAGAAGAGGAAAAAGGAGGGCUCCCGGCCGUCGCCGCAUCUUCUCCAUCGCCUGCGACGAAGAAGAGGGAAAAGGAAGAGGGAGAGGAAGAAAAAAGGCGAAGAAGAGGGAAGAAGAAGAAGAGGAAGAAGAAGAAGGGUAGAACCGUAAAUUCAUGUUAUAAUUAACAUGGUUAAGUAUUUUAACCGUGGUUAACGAAAAUUUUCUAACAGUCUUUAACGGCAGAGACAUAUCUGCAUAACUUAAGACUUUUGCAGGGACAACUUAUGGAGUUUCCGUUUUGCAGGGAUAUUUCUGCAAUUCACUAUAUUUGCAGAGACGUGUAUGCAAAUAACCCAUAUAUAUAUAUAUAUAUAUAUUUGUUGAAGAAGUAAAGUUAAUUUGGCCAUUUUGCUCUCCUCAUUAAUGACGUCCCCCCUUUAAUUAUUUUUAAAAUUUUUAAAAAAUAAAAUAAAAUUUUUUGAAAGUUAGAGAGAAAAAUAAAAAAAAUAGAUGUUUACGAGAGAAACUAUUCAAAUACUUAUUUAGCAUAGAUGGCCACGGUUUUUGGAUGGAAACCUUAAGGGUGCGUUUGGUUCGUAUUAUGAAAGAUUAGUAGGAAUAAAAGAUAUCCGAGAAUCUUAUUCCUAUUCAUCCUAUUACUAAGAAUGUGGAAUUUCUGUGUUUGGUUCACACAGUAAUAUUAAUUAGUCAUGUUAUUUAAUAUUACAAAAAAUAUACUAUUUAUUUAUUUAUUUAAUUUUAGAUAAUGUUACCAAAAGUUUCAACAUCUUUUUAGAAAAAAAUGAGAGAGAGUAUAAAUUAGAGAGAGAGAGCAUAAUUAAAAAAAAGAAAGAAAAAUAUAGUCGAAAUUAGAGGGAGUGAGAGAGUUGAAAUUUUAGAAAGAGAGAGAGAGAGAGAGAGCUUAGUUUAGAGAGAGAAAAAAAAUUGAAUUUUAGAGAGAAAAAUAAGUUUAGAGAGAGAUAUAAGGUUAGAGUGUAAAAAAAAAUAAUAUCAAUUAGCCGGCGGAUAGGAAGAAAGAAAGAGAUUAGACAUAUUAUGAUUACCCCAAUCCAUUAAUAUGAGGAUACCCACCCUCCCUCAAGGGAAUGAGAUUAGUACUUUGGGGUAAAUCUUAUUCCCAAGUGAAUCCAAUAUUACCAACUAGAUUACUUAGUGCGUUUAGCCAAAUACCGUCACAUUUUUUUAUUCUCAUUGAAUUACUAGAAAUCUUUAAAAGAUAGCGCAUGCACUCUUCUAAGUAUUUUUAAGAACACAUGCAAAUGUCAACUUCCUUUUCCUUUUUUUUUUUUUUUUUUUUUUUCUUUUUUUGAGGAUUGCUGCAAAACCUCGUAAUCUAAAUCUCGCCAUUAAACAAUCUACUAUUACCACCAGGAGACUAGAGAUCAAAUCCCGUAAAUAUGCAGGAGCAGGAUUUCACCGUCGUUUUUUCCCUUUUUUAAUAUAUUUUAAAUUUAGGUUAAUAUAUAGACACCUGCUAAACUUUAACCUGCUUCAAACUUGACCUCCUAGACUUUUUUUUAAAAAAAAUAUUUGAUUUAUAUCUUUUCUAUUUACUACCUGUUUGAUUUAGCUACUUUUAUUAGUAAUUUUGAUUAUUCUAUUAAUUAAAUUCAAGAUAAACGCUCACGAGAGAUUCAAGAUUGGACCCCCCCUCAUUCUCUUUAUUAAGUCUUUUUUUAUAUGAAGGUUAAUGCAUAGACACUCUAAACUUUAAUCUGAUUAAAGAUUUACUAAAACUCCCCAAUAGUCCCAUGCACCUCGGGGAGAAAAGGAAUUCUGAUUUGAAAUAUAAGAGGCCUCCAUGCUAGUAAUAACAACUCGAUUUAAGUAUUUUGGGCUGGUGGUUUGGGUCCAACAAAUUAUUAUUACUAGCGGGUCAGGUUGUUGCAAUUGGUAUUAGGGCAUAUUACGAGUUAGAAGUGUGAGAGCUAAGCACUAUGUGAAGCAAAGUGCUACACUAAUGAAUUUGGUAGGAGCCACCUCUUAAAUCGUAAGAAUCACCUCUAGAAUCUUACAUCGCCUGGUAAUUCUGGUCUGUUUGUCUGUGAUUUGAAAUAUAAGAGAUCUUCACGCUAGUAAUAAUAAUUAGACUUAAGUAUUUUAGACUAGUAGUUUGAGCCCAAUAUAUUAUUAUUACAAGCAGAUUAGAUCGUUACAUUUACCUUCUAAGCUUUUUUUUUUUUUAUUUGCACUUUCUCUACUUACUAACCAUUUGAUUUUAGCCGCUUUUAUUAGCAAUUUCAGUUAUUCUGUUAGAUUCAAAACAAACGCCCAUGAGAAAUGCAUAUGGCCAAAUUGCUUCAGUCAAAAAGGAGGUCAUGUGCAACUCUCAUCGGCAUUUAAUUUUAACAGAACUGUGAUGCCCAGCUUCCCAAGGGGGUCACCAAUUUUAAAAUUACUCUAAUCCUAACACUGUUAACCUUCAGUCUCUUGGAUUUACUCACCGUCCAAAAUGUAUAACCAGGUUAAAAAGUUCAAUCCUAUUAUACUUUAUAGAUAAGAUUAUUCUAAAUCCUAAGGCUUCGUUUGGUUCGGAAAUUAAUAGGAACUGGUUAUACCGGGGAUAAAUACAAAUAUGAAUUUUUUAAGAACAAGGGUAUUUUUUUGUUUGGAUGAAAAUAUGAGUAUAAGAUGAAACUAGAAAAAUUGUAUUUGGAUGGUUAUUGGGAAUAAGAGGAAUAGUUAUUAGUUAUAAAUAGAAAAUAAUGAUAUUACCCCUAUAAUUAAAUUUAAAUUUUUAAAUUUUAAAUUUGUAAUUUUAAAUUAAAAAUUUUAACUUUUAAAUUUUAAAAUUUGAAAUUAAAAUUUAAAAUUUUAAUUUUAAAUAUUAAAUUUUAAAAUUAAGACCAAAUUUAAAUUUCAAAGAUGUAAAAUAGCAAAUUUAAAAUUUAAAAACUAAAAAUAACAAAUUUAAAAAUUAAAAAUUAAAAAUAUCAAAUCUAAAAAAUUAAACUUUAAAAUUUAUAAUUUUAAAUUAUAAAUUUAUAUUUUAAAAUUAUAAAUUUUAAAAAUUUAAAUUUAAAUUUAAAAUAAAAAUCUCUCUCUCUCUCUGGUAAGGUGGGAACAACAGUUCCCGCCAUUCUUUUUUUUGUUUGGGUACAAAGGGGGGGAUAAUCCCUUUAUCCCCCUCUUUAUACCCGAUCCAAACAGGGUCCGGGAGUGUCACAAGAAUCUUCAAAGUUGCUAAUAGAAGAAGCUAAAUCAAAUGAUUAGAAAGUAGAGAGAUAUAAAUCAAAUAAAACAAAGUUUGUGAGGUAAAUUUCAAAACGGGUUAUAGAUUAAGUAAUGUGUAUACAUUUUAACUUUAGAUUUAAGUACACUUUUACUUCAGUGGAAUUUGAGUUAUCUACUACUAUAUAUUAUAAAGGUCUUCUUUUUUUAACAUGUAUCUCGUCCACAUAUUCAGUACACCAGGUGCAUUAAUUAUAGAACACAUAACAAAUAUAUAUAAUUACAUUUUAAUAAAUAUACACCUACAUUUAUAAUUUUUAAUACAUAAACAUAUAGAAUACAAUAAAAUUAAUUAAAUUAAUUAAAUUUUAUUUUUGAUAUUUUUUUAUCGUACAAAUUUAUUGAUAACAGUUAUUGAUUGUGUGGCUCUUAUGAGUGAUUUACUCUCUCUCUCUCUCUCUCUCAGGCUAAAAUCUCACAUGUUCCAUGAGCAAUACAUGAGGUUGAGACGAUGUUCAUCUUUAUUUAUCGACCACAAAAAUUAUAUAACCAAACAUAAUAUUUUUUUAUUGCACUUGUUGCUCAUAGUUCCAGGCAGAGGCUAGUUUGUUACUGAGGCAUAUAAAAUGUAUGUUUCUCAAUUUUUCUUCAGUAAAAUUAUAAAAUUUAUAUUUUAAUCAAUUCAAUGCAAUUUGCACAUGCUACAUGUUAACACGUAAAGAAUAAAUACUUUUUUUUUAAAAUAUCCAUUGCGUUUGCUCACGAUAUUUAAAGCACUCUUUCCGCAAUUCCAAAUUAAUAGAGCCUUAGAUACCAACAAAAGAAUGGAUCGGGCCAUGUACAAUAAGAAUUGGGUAUGGGUUGGGACCAAGUAACAUUUAAGGCACAAAGUUACUUUGGGUCGAGUACAACCCAAUUUGAAUGACAAUAUGCACCAUAACUUUUUUUUUUUUAAGUAAAUUACAGUUUUGGUCCUAGGAGACGCGCGACACUUUCAUCGUCAAACUUUGAUUUAUUGUGAUUUUUUUGUAUAAAUUUUUUGUAUUAUUACAAUCAAGUUCUACACUCUAAUUUAGUUGACUAAAUAUCAAUAAACUGUUGAUGUAGAAGAAAUUUAGUAUCUUAAUUAUUGCCAUUAUCAUUAAUCACAAUACUUUCACACAACUUCUACAUCAACAAGUUGUCAAUAUUUAGCCAACUAAAUUAGAUCAUAAAAUUUAAUUAAAAUAAUAAAUUAAAGUUUGAGAACCAAAGUGUCAUGUGCCUUGUAGUUUAAGGACCAAAAAUGUAAUUUACUCUUUUUUGGAUAGAAAUUAUGUGCGAGUAUUCAGUGUGAUAUUAGGGUCCGUUCGGUUCAAGGUAAAAACGUAAAAACCUAAAAUUUAAUUUUUCAUAGAAAAUAAUUUUUUGUUGAAAAAAUUUUCACGUUUUGUAGUGUUUGAUUUUUAGAAAAAAAAAAUUCAAUCAAAAUUUGUUUGGUUCGGUAGGGAAAAAAAGAAUGAAAAAAAAAUUUACGCAGUUUGAGUUUCCGUAUUGUCAAGAAAAUAGCAGAAAAAAAAAAACUUCAAUUUUUUUCUCAAAUCCAUAAAAAUACUUUUACGAAAAAAUAUUUUUAUGUCGAACCAAACAAACAAAAAAGCGUUUUUCAUAUUAAAAAUAUUUUUUUUGAUUCGUUUUACUCCGAACCGAACGUCCUCUUAAUGCUGAUUGGUUUCAAAUGAUAACCAAGAUGCAUCCUACACAAGCAAAAGAUAUAUAUUUUUCUUUUUAAAAAAAGGUUAGGAUUUGUCAAAUUUCAAUGUAAAUAAUAUUUUUUUUCUUAUUGGGCCAAUCUAAAAUUAAAACUUCUAUAAUUUUCUCAAGCGGAUAACUUUUAUAUAUUCUCUUUGAACCUCUUUGGCUAGCGAGUACAACUUUGAAGGUAAAAGUAUAGAAAUUAUUUUGAUUCGGACUAUCCAAUUUUUUAAUUUAUUUGAUUUAAAUCAUUUGAUGCCUUUUCGAAUACAAAAUUUAAACUCAUUACUUAUUUUAAUAAAUUUAUAUUUACGCGCAUUGUAUAAAAUAUACCGACUAUAUCUGUAACGAUAAACAAAGCAUUACUUAAGAUGGAUUCGAUGACCCAGAAAUAGUCUUAAAAUCACCAAUCGCGCGCCUGAGAUUGGUUAUGAUAUCAUAUUGCACAAAAAAAAGGAUCAAUCUGAAAAAAGAGAAGGUAAAAAUGUACGUAGACCCCUUAACUAUAAGGCCGUCAUGAAAUAGCCCCCUAAAGGUUUUUAUUUCUUCUUUGGCUUGGAUUGACACCCCUUUAAACUUUUCUAUUUUGGAAUCAAGUAAUUUUAACCGAAAAAUAGACAUUUUAUCAUUUUUUUUUUUUGGUAAUUUUGUCGAAUUUACCAAAACGGAACUAUAUUGAUUAACCGGCAAUGGCUAACUAAACCAUCAAAUUUAACAAAGUUUUAAAUCACAAAAAGUAAAAGGGAGUAAAAAGUUGAGGCGUCCCUUUCAUAAUGUCCUAUAGCUGAGGGGGUAUCCAUACAUUUUUACCAGAAGAGGCAAAUAGAGUUACUCCCAGAGGAUCUCCGGUCAAGAGUAUAAUAAUAACAUUAUUUAUAAACAAAGGAAAAAAAAAAAAACUGGUAGACAGCUGAUUCAGUCACUAGUUUCAAGAACCUCAGUCAACCCAGAAAUGUACACACCAAAAAAAAAAAAAAAAAAAAAAAAAAUCUAGUAGAUGUUAUGAGUUAACAAAGAGAUUAUCAUACUAAACAGAUUAAUCACUGCCACAUGAAGGGAAGAGCUUGAGAGUUACCAUCUGAGGACCCUUGCCCCCCUCUGCCGCCGCCGCCGCCAUGAAACAUAGCCUGACAAUGAUGCUGAAGCUCGCUGCCACCGGCGUCAGGAACAAGAACAACACUCCCCGCAUUCUCAUCACAAGAAAACCCAGACGCUGAGAAGUCGCCCGAACCCCCGUAAUGCACGGCCGAGACCAUCGACUGACCCAUCGGGAUCGCGUUGGUGAUGCUCGAGUUCUGAGCCGUGGGAGGCGAUGACAGAAGAGAGAGAGCACAAUCAGAGGAGUCCAGAACUUGGGCUAGUCCGUGCGGGACGGGUUUCAGCGCAGGUCUGACGGGGAGGGCGGUAUCGUCUUUUUCCUGCAAGAAGGGGAAGCGCUUCUGCUCCUUGAAAGCGCUGGAGAAGGACGCCGGGAUCGUCUGCGUCCUGUCGACGAGCUGGAGCGGCGGGUGGUGGGGAUGCGGGUAGAGGGGAAUCGCGUCAUUCUCCUCGGCUUUCAUGAUGCUGGCCCAGCUUGGCUCUGUCGCUGCAGCCGUAAAUAUUGGCGGAUAGUUCGAAAACUGCGUCGCUGCACCAAAGAUUAUAUACUUGUUUACAAACUGCAAAAGUUAAAAUAACGUUUGAAUGCUGAGCUCAUUAUUCAAGUUCCAAAAGUUGUAAAAGAGUAUAAGCCAAUUGUCCGACUCGCAAUUGAAGUUCGGAGGGAUACUUAAGCUUCAUUUGCUCCAAUUUAAAAGUUUACUCCAUCUUUUAAAUAUUAGUUACUCUCAUAUUUUUCAUGUUCAUUGGGUGACAAAACCUAGAUAUAUUCUUCAUUAGUAAAGGAAUUCACACACAAUAUAUAACUCGACAAGUUCACACUGUUCUCAACCUAAAAUCUUUCUUGUUAUUUGCUUCUGUUUAUACAAUCAGCAAAUAGUCUGCUCUAUGAUCAGUUCUUCAGCUUUAAUACUAUAAUUUGCCGUUUCAGGAUUCGUACUUCACAUCUUUAUAAAUGUCCUGCGGCAUUUAUAGUGCGCUAAUUAUAAAUUAUUUACAAUUUCCAAAAUCCUCAACCAAAACAAUGAGACAUUAUGCAAACAUUAGCGAGAACGUCAAAUCGAUAUCUACAAAUUCAUCUUAGUUUUACUUUAGCUUCCUUCUUUUCUCAGAAAAAAAAAAUUUUCACUAUUUUUUUUUUUUGUAUUUCCUAAACUUCCGGAUUGUCAAAAUUGAAUGAAGCACACGACAAUAUGUUUUACCGAGAUAAAUGCUAAAUUAGUAACGCGCACUAACUAUGCAUGCACACAACGGAAGUGGAAUAUAUCAUCUAAAAACUGAUUUAUAUGACUGAGAAUCAUACGAUACCAGCGAUGCCUACUCUUUACUCUUUAGUAAUUAGUCGAUGAUUUAAACAAAGAAAACAAAAGUGAAGUAAACAGAAUUAUGUAAAUAAACAAAUUGAUUAGUCCUAAAUACACGACAAGAACACUCGUACUCUUUGUAUGCGACACUAGCGCUUCAUCAAGAUGAAUCAAUUUGCCUAGGCAUGUUAACAACUACGGGAACCGAAAACUUGCGAAACAGAUAAAAUAAACUGGGACUCAUGAAAAGGUUGGUAACUAUGGGAAUGGAAAUAUAGAAAAGCCAAACCUUGGUGCUGAUUAGAGAACAAAAUCCCGGGACUAAUGGGCUCCGGCUGAGGCUUCCUUCGGCGUCGGUUGUGCCCAUCUAGCCGUUUCCUACAGCUUCUUUUCACCUCAUCAAACUCCGCUAGCAAGUGAAACCUAUCCCGCCGACAAGCAAGCAUUUAGUCUCGACUAUUAAUCCUCUACUACAAAAAGAAGCAUCCAGAGUAGAUAGUUUUCUAUACAUACCCGACAAUAAGUUAUGAAUUCAUGGUACCUGCAAAAUCCGAAUUUCCACAUAUGCCUGACACAAAACUAACCCACACAGUGCACACUCUUAUACGUACGAUGUGGUAAAAUCGAUCUGUGCAAAAGAAGUAAAAUCUACGGAACAAAAAGUAACACCACUAAGUUUCUAGGCAAGCGGAGACAAUCAAUCUAAAAGAUUGGAUCAAACUAAAAGUCUAAGCACGCAAAACAAGUUGGACAUGAUUCAUCUAUAUCAAGUAGAACAGAAGAAUUAUAUAAUGCACCGCCCCAUGAAUCUCCUGAGGUAUUGAAAUAUCAAGGGUGGAAUAAGAUACUUAAAAAAAAAAAGAAAAAAAACGAAUUCGAGUCAUAGAUUAUCGAAAGAUAUACUAAAUCCCUUACUUCUGCUAGUGAUUAGUUCACUGGUUUUCUAGAGAUUAGGCACGGAAGCAAUAAAAACGGAAUAAUGAAGAUAAGGUUUGAUUGAAUUAGCGUAUCACUUAUUUGAAAAAGCCUUGCUUCUUUUUUUUUUUUUUUUUUCUUUCGUAGCAAUGGUACAUGCUCUGUUGUAGUGUGGUACAAAACUGUAUUCGCGUUUUACAAAAUGUCAAAACAAUGAAAGCUCUCCUAUAUUUUGUUAAGUUACCAAAGCACGAUUAGCGAACGCAAGCUUUUAUAUCAUAAAAAAGGGCUCGUCCAGGCCGCAAUAGAAUAUGCAUACUGCCAUGGUAUCUGAUCCAACAACGACAUCCCGAAUAUAAUAUUCGAACAUAGAAGGCUAGUAAACCGAAAUCGGACACGUCGAAAAUUAUAAAUUAUGAGAAGAGAUGGGUAAGUUCAUCGUGUUGUUCGUGCACUAGGAAUCGGUUGCGUCCCACGGACGAAUGAAUGGCAUAAAAAGUAGAUGAUUAAAUCAGGUAAAAAAUCUUUGCUACUUCCACAUGGUCAAACUGCGGAAUUUCGGUUUGAGUAUAUUUCUACACAAAAAUAGUAAUGGAAUGUCACGCCGCCGAUAAUUAACUAGUGAGCAAUAGAUCAAAUUGAUAGGUAUAACAACUAAUGAGGGGUUCUGCAAUAAAGUGGAUACUCUGUUUUUUGGCUGCAAUUAGUCAAUUACCUGCUGCACUGCUGGCAAAAUCUCUGCUCCUGGCCGCCGACCAGGACGAUGGGGGUCUUGGAGUGGACUUCGCAGACCUUGUGCCGGCGGUGGUAGUCCCGGCAGCUGCUGAGGUCGGAAUUGCAGCCGUCGACGAGGCAGGAGGCGGCGGCCUGCGAGGAGCCGCCGGGCCCGCGCGCGCGCUUCGAGGGCGCGGCGGAGGGCGGGGCCUUGGCAGACUGUUCCCGCCACUUCUCCGGCGCCGCCGGAGCGAAAUCCCCCAACCCUCCGAGUUUGAGAUCGACCGAGCAGUUCUUGCCGCCGCCGCCGCUGCCGCCGACCAUGGAGCCCAUGGUCGCGUCAGAGGCCUGAUCGAAUUCUGACAGGUCCCAGGGAGACAAUUUUGCGUCCCAAUCCAUGAAAUUACCCCAAUUUUUGCUUUUUGCUUCCCCUCUUUUUUUUUUUCUUUUUUUUUUUCUUUUUUUGGGGUUCUUAACAAAUCUCUUCUUCGCAACUUCAAUCUUAUACUUAUACUAAUACUACUCUCUCUCUCUCUCUCUCUCUCUCUCUCUCACACACACACACACACACUCACUCACUCUUUAACACACCCAACCACACCUCAUUCCACCAAUUCUAACUACUCUUCACCUGCACAAUUACAAAUACAACAACCACCAACAGGCCAUCAGCAACAAUACUUCCAACAACAACAACAGAAGGGAAAAAAAAGAAAAAAGAAAAAAGAAAAAAAAAGGAAGCAGGAGAUGAUGAUGAUGAUGAUGAUGAUGAUGGAGGGGGGAAAGGUAGGGAGGGAGGAGGGGAGUAGUAGUGCUCAGUACUUACACAGAUAGCUGCUGCUGCAGGAAGAAGCAGGAGAAGGACAGUGACACAAAUUCCAUGGAGGAGGGGAGGAGAGUAUGGGGUGUGUGUGUGUGUGUGUGUGUGUACUGUGGAGGCUCGGGGCAUCACAUUCCUUGGUUAAGGAUCACUGUUGAGGGAGUGAGAGGCAAGGAAACCAACAGUAAGAUUGGGUUAUAAUUUAUAUUUCACAAAGAGAGAGAGAGAGAGAGAGAGAGAAAGAGAGAGAGGGGGGGAUGGUGAAUAAUAUGAUGGUGGUGAUGAUGAUGAUGAUUCUGCUGCAAACUCCAAUGAGUGAGAGGAGUGAGAUAUGGGUUUGUUUUGUUUGGUCUUUUGUAGGUCUCUCUUUUUUUUUCUUUCUUUUUUUUUGUGUGAUUUUUUUUUUUUAAAGAUAGAUAGCACGUUAUUCUCACUUUGUUUAUUUUAUUAAAAAAUAAAUUUAGCUAAAAAUAUAAAUUAAAUAGGAUUCAAACUUGAGACCUCGAAUAUUAAUCACUGUGUUUUUUUCUGUGCUUACACUGUAGAAAAAUUAGGAGAAAACCAAAAAGUUUACCGUGAGAAGAGAGAGAGAGAGAGAGAGAGAGAAAAGGGUGGCAGGAAAGUGACAGGGUGUAGUUGCUGUCAACUUUACAAAUUACAAGUAAUAAGGGGAGAAAAGUACAAAGGUGGUGGAGGUGCUUGGGAGUAUGGAGGUGAGAGCUUCGGGAGGGUUUUUAAGUGGUUCCAUGUUAUGGAAAAUGUGUUUGCUUCACCUUUGCUAUAACAUGGAAAAUCAGUUUGCUUCACAUUUGCUUACAUGUUGUUGUUGUUGUUGUUGUUGUUGUUGUUGUUGUUGUUAUUUUAUUUAAAAAAAAUUUAAAAAUUUAUAUAGUUUUGUAUUUUUUUAUUUUAGUAUUUUGUGGUUUAAAAUAUAUUAUUUUAAUAUUUUAUAAUUUUAUUUUUUUUUGUAUUAUCUUUUUUGUUAAUUUUUUUCUUGAAAUCAGUGAUAAAAUUAAAAUAAUAGAAUACUAAAGUAAAAAUUUGAUAAAUUAUAAAAUAUUAAAGUGAAUAUUCGAUAAAUUAUAGAUAAGAUAUUUUAAGUUUUAUAUAUGAUUUAACAUAGAAUCAAUAGGGGUGCUAACGAAAAGAAAAAACUUUAUAUGAUACUAAACGGGAUACACUUUAAAUCAUCAUAAAAUAGUAAAAUAAAAAAAAUAUAAAACUAUAAAGAUGAUAUUUAAAAUUUACCUUUAAAAAAAAAAAUUCUCUUCUCUCUUAUUCUACAUCUUUCUCCCUCGUUCCCUCUGCCUCUAGGCUGCCAGCCUGACCUUACUAGGCAGUCCAAUCAUGUAUUCUCAUCCUAACUAUAUAAAAAUAUGAUAGGUGAAUUAUGCUAAAACCCAUAAUAAUAAUAAUAAUAAUAAUUUUAAAGUUAAAUGAUUUAAUAAUAGGAUUCAAGUCAGAUGAAUCAUUGAAAAAAAAAAAAAAAAAAAAAAAGGAAAACUUCAAAAAUUCCUCUCGUGGUUUUACGUAUUUUUUCACUUUAGUACCCUGUGAUUUAAAGUGUAUUAAGUUAGUAUCCUAUGGUUUCGCAUUUUCUUAUUUUAGUACUAUGUGAUUUAAUAUUUUAUUAAGAAAAAAAUAAAAUCAUAAGGUACUAACUUGAUACAAAAAUAAAAUCACAGAGUACUAACUUGAUACACUUUAAAUCACAGGGUAUUAAAAUGAGAAAGUGCGAAACCACAAAAUACUAACUUGAUACACUUUAAACCACAGGAUACUAAAAUAAAAAAGUGUAAAACUACAGGGAGAGUUUUUGAAGUUUUUCCUUGAAAAAAUUACAAAGAUUCUGUAGAUUGGUUCCAACUUGUUAAAAUUCGUGUGUCGACAUCUUUUUGAUUUUUCCCUCAAUUCAUAAGUAUAUGUUUUGACAUAUUCAUGAUCAUGCUUAAAAUGUGAUUCAGAAUAAAAAACUACUAUCCAAUAAACAAAAAAGUAUCUGCUAAUGUAGCCAAUAAUUUUAGUUUUUUUUUUUUUUUCUCAUAAUCUUUGUUACCUUUCUUAGCAAUCUAGCAUGUUUUUUUCAUUCCUCCAUCUCCUCCCUCCUCCUAACCUUGUUUGGAAUUUUGUCUACUUCCCUGGUGGCUUAAUUUUUCUAACAAUUUAGGUCUUUAAUUAGCUCCACUCUAAAAGGGUGUUUUAAAUGUGGGGUGAAUACUGGUCUACAUCCAUACCUAAUUAUCUUCUUUUUGAGUUGUUCCUUGUCCCAAUAAUGCAAUAAUGUUGUAGGUGUGUAUAUAAAGCUGUCUCUAACUCCAAUCCAACCCACCCCACAAGAGUGACAAAGUUGCUCUGCAUUACCAACUCACCCCUUUCCUCUGUUUGACUGACAAAACCAAAAAGCACUUUCCCUGUAACUGCUAAUUAUCAUCCCAAAUCCAUCCACCUCUAUAUUUGUAGCCUUCAUGUGCCCCACCCACCCCCAAAAAAAAUAAAAAUAAAAAUAAAAAAAAAUUAUAGUAAGAUCUUAUUUCUUAUCCAACUAGACACGUCACAGAAUAAUAAUCGAACAGUGAAUUACACAGAAGAAUCUCAAAUUAUAAGCUAAGUUUCAAUUGAGUCCUUAACCUUCUACUCAUUACAAUUAGGUUUUCAGUGUUUUACAUGAUUUCAAUUGAGCAUCUAACCUUCCAUAUUGAAAUUAGAUUUCUAUUGUCUUCUAAAAAUUAGGGCUUUGAAAUGAUGGCGUUGCAUUCUGUUUAACGUAGGAGAGAUUUUAAUGAAAAUGAUUUGAUUGAAUUGACUACAAAAAGCUAUAUAUUAUAAGAAAAGUAAUACUAUUCAUACAUUUCAAAAAUGAUAUAAAUCUUAGACCUCUUUUCCUAAAAUAGGUGGUGUAAGAUUUAUAUAAAAAUUUGCGUGUAUGAUAGUUUUUUUAUUAUAAAAAUUUUGUAUUGGGUUAAUUACACCAUAGGUUUUCUUAUAUUUUCAAUUAGAAUCUUAACUUUUCUUCCUUUUAUUCACCUUUCUUCUUUUUUCCUUUUCUCUCCCUUUUUUUUUUUCCCCCCUUCUGCUUCUUCUUUCUAGCCUUUUCUUCCAUGUCUUCUUCUUCUUCUUCUUUCAACAUCCUCCUAACUCAUCUUCUUCAUCUUCUUUUUUCUUCAUUCUUCGUAUCAUAUGCAUCUUAUUCUUAAUUUUUUUUUCAUCUAUUGUUUCUUUUUAUUUUUCGUUCUUUCUCUUCAUCUUCUUCUUCUUCUCUUCUCAUCUACUUCUUGAAGAUAUUAAAAGUUUACGUGUUGAAUUCCAUCAAAAAAUAAUAAAAAUAUUGACAACAAGGAACUUAAUCAACCAAAAAAAUAAAAAGGAGGACAGAUCACUACAACAGAAUUAGGUUAUAGGGACACAUGUUUGGGAUACUUUUGAGUAAGUGUCCCAUUUAUCCUAAAACUUAAAAAUAUAUCUAGUAAUGCCUAAAUAUAAAGCCCAAUCCAACCAAAAAUAAAAGAUUACUCUACUCAACCCACCACACCCAGUCCAUUUGGCCCGAUUACAAACAGAAAAGAAAAAAAAAAAGAAAAAUCAAUUACCAUAUUUUCUUCUCUCUUCACUCAAUCCACUAAACNCUCUACUCAACCCACCACACCCAGUCCAUUUGGCCCGAUUACAAACAGAAAAGAAAAAAAAAAAGAAAAAUCAAUUACCAUAUUUUCUUCUCUCUUCACUCAAUCCACUACUUCUAGACAAAGAGUCUUUCCUGUCGUCCUCCUCCGCCACCGCAGCCAACGAGAUAGAGUUUCGGCGGUUGCUAAAUGCUUAAAUAAGUGUUGGUAAAUUGGCAGCUCUCUUUUAGGUUAUAGUGACACUCUUUAACUGUCACUAUAUACCUAGCGACCCCACAUAUAGCAACACUUUUUAAAAGUGUCGGUAAUUUUAGCUAGUAGCACUUUUUUGACAUGUACCUACAUUUAAAAGUGCCGUUAUAGACCCUUUUUAUUGUAGUGGAUUGAUACUUUGUACGAUCAACUAAAGUGGCGAUGGACCAACAACCAAAAUUUUACCAUCAAAUCACUUUAUGAAUUCGUCACCGACGGAGGACAGAUUGAUACUUUGUACGAUCAACUAUGGAGGUUAAAAAUCCCGCUCAAGCACAAAGUUUUCAUUUGGAUUCUACUUCGAAAGAGAUUAUCUACGGCAGACAGACUGCUUCGCCGAGGGUGCAUUGUGGAGUAGCACUGCAGGUUCUGUGUGUUACUAGCCAAAACAGGUGAUCACCUAUUCCACAAUUGUAUCGUUGUCAGAUUUCUUCGUUUUAAAGUAGGAGCCUUAGUGGAGGCGGAUUCGGAUGUAGGGGACGUACGACAGCUGUGGACACAGAUCUCGGACAUCCCUGAGGCCGUAAUGAGAUCAAAAAUUUCAACCAAGUUGGCGGCAAUUUGAUGGGUUGUCUGGACGGAGCGUAAUGGCAUUUGCUUCCGCGACGUGCCUCUUAAUGUUUCCCGGGCUCUCGAACGGGUCGCCGUUUUGAUCGAAGCCUGGAACGAAGCACUUUGAUUCUCUCCCGAGCUCUACGCUCUGCCCUCUGUUUUCCCAUUUUUGUUUAUUUUGGUUUUCACUUGUUUCCUGGGUCUCACGGACUUGGUUUUUGUUCUCUUGUUUUUUCCCUUGUUCCCUCGGUUCGGAGGUCCUAGCUGCUUCCAGUUUGUAUGCUAAAUUCAUGUUGCUUAAUGAAUGAAGCAGGUAGCUUGCUAUCUAUUUCUCAAAAAAAAAAUAAAUAAAAUAAAAAGGUAAGGUACCCAAUUAAAAAACAGAAAACAGAUUAGAGAUCAAUGUUGUAAUUAUACUUUUGUGUUUUAUGAGUGAAGUAGAUAAAAGGAAUUAAUCAACAAUUAAAAUGCAAAUUAUUUACAGAGUCAAGCUUGUGUGCUUCUAACAGCAUAUGAAUGGCGCAUACUUAGUCAUUAAAUCAAAUAAUAUUUUACCACUCCCUACUAACCUCUAGAUAUCCAAGAGUUAAAAAUUGGUACCAUGCACUAUUCAUGGAGAAAACUUGGGUGGAAACCUCCCCAACGAUGCUUCGUGAAGGAGCCUCCAAUUUGUUAUCAUGUGUCAAUUUUAUAUUUAUCCUCUAAUUUUUUUUUUUUUUUAGAUUUUAGUAUCAAAAACACCUAAUAAAUUUUUGAAUGAAAACAAAACUAAUGCAUGAUAACAUAUCGAAGGCUCCCUAGCGAGGCAUUAUUGGGAGGCUUCCGACUGAAAUUUUGUCCCUACUCAUGUGAGGACUUCAGCUACAACUUUUGAUAUGACUAAAACUAAAUCUCAAAUCAAAUCAUCGACUGUUUCUAGCGCAAGUGGUAAAGGACUUGGUGGUUGGUACUUGAGGUUUCAUGUUUAAAGCCUAAUUGCUUUACAUUUUCAACUAAGUUUAUUUCUAAAAAAAGAAAAGCUGGUGGCACGCUACCUCUCUCUCAAAAAAAAAAAAAUUCUCAAAUCACUUGUCGCUGUAUCGAUGUAUCUAAUAUUUAAAUCUCAAAUUAUGAAAACAGUAGUUUUCAGAUCCUUGGAGUAAGUUGGAAUAAUCCAAGAUAAGCAUAGAAAAGGGAUCAAACAUAAAUUUUCGUACCUGAGAACAGUAGUUUUCGGAUUCUUGGAGCAAGCUGGUAUAUAUAAUCCGGUAUAAGUCUGAAACUACUGUAACACUAUUUUUUUCAAAUGCAAAAUUCAUUUAGUUUCUAUUUAUACCUGAAUUAUACCUAUAUAUCCCUGAAAUAAGCAGUUCUUACUUAUACCCGCACCAAACACUGCCUUAAAAUUUUAUGUUGGCCGAAAUUCGUAUUCCAUUUGAUGAGUAGGUUCUAAUUACUAGAUCUAUCCAUAUUGUAAAAUUAAAAUUUUGAAAUAUAAUAUAUUAUCACCUAACAAAGCUGGAAAAAGGAAAAAAAAAUUACACAAAAUGUAAUGGUAGCUUAGGGCAUACGUAAACUCGAACCGAACAACUACCAAUCGACAGUUUGAGCUCUACAAGGUUAAAAUGUGAAGCAACUAGAUUUGAAACUUGAGAUCUUGAAUACUAAUUAUCAAGUUUUUAGCCAACUAUGCUAUGCACGAUCAUUAUAUUCAUGAGAUAUUUGCACUGACUUUGAUUUGGAUUUGGUGCUAUUAAUAUUUUGCGGCAUCUUCAUUAAGUAUUAGUUUAUACUAAUACAUUGAGUUGCACCCCAUUUUUUCAAUUUUAAUAUGAUUUUUCCUCCAUCUUUUCCUCGUGAACGUGAACGUAAAAUUGAGAGUUACACUAAGACUUUUUAUAAAACAACUCUCUAAAAUUUUAUAAUUUGUAAAAUAAUUUUGUCAAAUUUAUAUUUUUUUUGCCACGUAGGAUUUUUUUUCGAAACACGGUGAAUCCAUCACUGUAUUUUUUCAUGCCUUUUGAAGACGGUGAAUCGUUCACCGUAUUCUCUCAUGUCUUUUAAAGGAAGUUAUUAAGAUUUUUUGUGAUUUAUUGAAAUUUGUAUAUGGUGGUUAGAAUUAUAUAUGAGAUAUAAAAAAAAAUAGUAAAUAAACAAAAAACAAUAAAUGAUUUAUCAUUUUUGUGAAAAAUUAGGAAGGCGGUGAAUCGUUCAUUUACCAUUUUUACGAGAAUGUUCCAACAUGGCUCCUACAUGGCAAAAGAAGGAUUAAUUUACUUAAAAAAAUUUCAUAAGGUUAUUUACCUAAUUAGAAAAUUUUAUAGGGUUAUUUUGCAAAAAAGUCCAUUAAACUACGUAAAUUUAUGGCCAAUUUGCAUAAAAAAUUCACUUAUUUUGGGCUUUUGCAAAACCGGGCCACAUUUUUCAUUUUUGCAGAUUCAAUCCGCUUUUUCAGCAAACUGACCAAAAUACCCUUUUUACUUUUUCUCUUUCCUCUUUCUCUCUCCUCUUCGUUUCUCUCGUUCUUUUUUUUUUUUCUCGCCGGCAGAGCGGAGGCGGAAACGGUCUGUCUCGCCUCUCACCCUCAUUCUCUCGCCCUCGCCCUUGCACUCGUUCACGCACCCCCCACCUUCCUCGCCUCCAACCCCGCCAAGGCCGCGCCGCGACUUUUUUUUUUUUUGCUUUUUUCUUUUCUUUUCUUCUCCGACUCUUCUCCACCGUCUCCGACGACGACGCUUCUCUCGUCCUUCCCUGCCCUUCUCAUCUCUCCCUCUCCCUCAUUCUCUGCCGCCUCAGACGACGAUGCAUCUUCGCCGGCGCCGACGUCGACACCAUGGAGGUCACUGCGGCGCUACAGGCUCGGAGCGGGGGUCCUUAGCGGCGUCGUCGCCGGCACCGUGGCUGUUGGCAGAGAGGGUGACAAAAAAAAAUUAUAGAAAAAACAGGAAAAAAAAUAAAGAUAAAAAAUUAUAAAAAGAAGGAUGAACAUGAAAUUGUAUUGUUAACUGCAAAAAAAAUUAUAAGUUGUACUACUUAAGAUAUAAACUGCAGCUUUAAGAUGAAAAAUAUACUCUUUAAACGAAAAUUACACUCUUUGAGAGAUAUUUAUACUGUUUCUCUUCUUAUUACACUCUUUCAGAUGUAAACUAUAUCCAUUAAGAUGAAAGUUACACUCUUUAAACAAAAGUUGCACUGGUUCUCCUCUUGUUGCACCAUUUCUCCUCUUGUUGCACUGUUUUUUAUCUUAAACUGCACCCUUUUAAGAGAUAUUUAUACUGUUUCUCCUCUUGUUGCACUGUUUCUCCUCUUGUUGCACCAUUUCUGUAUAAACAAGAGGAGAAAUAGUGCAAUAAGAGGAGAAGCAGUGCAACAAGAGGAGAAACUGCACUGUUUUAAGAGAUAUAUAUACUGUUUCUCCUCUUGUUGCACCAUUUCUGUGUAAACAAGAGUAGAAAUAGUGCAACAAGAGGAGAAAUUACACUGUUUUAAGAGAUAUAUCUACUGUUUCUUCUCUUGUUGCACUGUUUCUUCUCUUAUUGCACCAUUUCUGUGUAAACAAUAGGAGAAAUAGGGCAACAAGAGAAGAAACAAUGCAAUAAGAGGAGAAACUGCACUCUUUUAAGAGAUAUUUAUACUGUUUCUCCUCUUGUUGCACCAUUUCUGUGUAAAUAAGAGGAGAAACAGUGCAACAAGAGGAGAGUGCAAUAAAAAGAGAAACAGUAUAAAUAUCACUUAAAAAGAUGCAGUUUAAGAUAAAAAAUAGUAUAAUUUUCGUUCAAAGAGUAUAAUUUUUAUCUUAAAGCAGCAGUUUACAUCUUAAAUAGUACAACUUAUAAUUUUUUUUUGUAAUUAAAGAUGCAAUUUCAUCUUCAUCCUUCUUUUUAUAUAAUUUUUUAUCUUUAUUUUUUUUUCUAUUUUUUCUAUAAUUUUUUUUGUCACCUUCUCUGCCAACAGCUACGGCGCCGGUGACGACGCCGUUAAGGACCCUCCGCUCCGAGGCUGUAGCGCCGCAGUGACCUCUACGGUGUUGACGUCGGCGCCGGCAAAGAUAAAUCGUCGUCAGAGGCGGCAGAAAAUGAGGAAGAGGGAGAGAUGAGAAGGGCGGAGAAGGGCGAAAGGCGUCGUCGUCGGAGACGGUGGAGAAGAGUCGGAGAAGAAAAGAAAAGAAAAAAGAAAAAAAAAAAAAAAGUCGUGGCGCUGCCUUGGCGGGGUCGGAGGCGAGGAAGAUGGGAGGUGCAUGGACGAGGGCAAGGGCGAGGGCAGGAGCCUGAGGGUGAGAGGCGAGACGGACCGUUUCCGCCUCCGUUCCGCCUCCGCUCUGCCGGCGAGAAAAAAAAAGAACGAGAGAAACGAAGAAGAGAGAGAAAGAGGAAAGAGAAAAAGUAAUAAGGGUAUUUUGGUCAGUUUGCUGAAAAGGCGGACCGAAUCUGCAAAAAUGAAAAAGGUGGCCCGGUUUUGCAAAAGCCCAAAAUAAGUGAAUUUUUUAUGCAAAUUGGCCUAAAUUUAUUGAAUUUUUUAUUCUUUAAAUUUUUAUUCUACUUACCAUAAAUAAAUAGUCUAAAAUUUCUUUUUUGAAGUAACAUUAAAAAAACCCACAUUUACUCGCGCAACUCAUAAAAUUUAUCAAAUCUGAUCAAAUUCAAGUAUUAAAUACUAAUUAAAUUCAACAAUUUAGGUGCUGUUUAGUUUCUAGGAAAAAAAAAAAGCAUGAAAAAAUAUUUGGAAAAAAGAAAUUCAUGAAAAACUUCUUUUCUUGUUUUUUCUUUUUUCUGUUUGGUUCCUAAGAAAACUAAUUUUUUGAAAAUAUUUUGUCUAAAUUUUAUGAAAAACUAUUAUUUUCGUUUUCUUUAUUUUUUUCAAAAAUAAUAAUAACAAUAACAUAACAUUUUUUUAUAAAAUAUGAGAAAAUUUCAAAAUAAAUUUUUUUUUUUGCAAUAAAUGGUCUCUAUCUAUCAAUAGUAAAUUAGUUCUAUUAAUAGCACCACCCUCCUCCGCCACGCAAGCAAUCUAAUUUCAUACCUAACUACCCUAAUUUUGUAAUUAUCGAAUUUUAUUAUGUCUUAAUCAUGAUUAGAUUACUGACCCACUUGUUAAACCCUACCGGGGCCCACUCUCAUUUUCCGCGUCGAACUAAUCCCCACCGUCCAUUCAUGUGCACCAAAUCACGUGAUACAAUAAGCUCCCGCCCAACAACUAGAAACAUAAACAACCUGAAUUUUCUAUUUAAGGAAAUUUUAAAUAUUUCCGAGGACCCAAAAUUGGCUAAUUUUAAAUUAUUUACUUGCUAAUUUUAAACGCGGUCCAAAAAUUCGUCGUUUUUAGUGCUUCUAAUUAAUUAAUUAGUUGAUUAGUUGAUUAAUUAAUUAAUUAUGUAUUAAAGUACUCUACUUAAAAUCCCCGCCCCCCAACACCAUUUUGUGCGUACGUGGCACAACCCCGAUCGCGAAAUGAUUGGAGAGUAUGAACGGUCGAGAUUGAGGACGGUGUCCACGUGGCGUCAUCGGGAGGGUCGUUGUUCCCGAGAAUAAUUGGUCGCCCUCGUGGGCUUACUUUGUUAUUGUCGGUGUCCAUCGAUUUUCUCACACGUGUCCCAAAAUCAUUUUUGUCGUUAUUAAGGAACCCAGUGACGUGGCAGGUGAAACCGUAAAGGGACCCCUGAUAAAUAAAAUAUUCGGACAUAGGGCCCUCGCAUUUUUCUUUUCAGUCCCUUUUUUUAAUUGAUAAUAUAUCUAAUUAUUUGGAAUUAAGUAGUUUAUCAAAUUAAUUAGUAAUUUUACUAAAUUUAACAAUUUUAAUUAUUUUUCGUAGAUUAAAUUAGAUUAAUUAAUAGUUAGCAGCUAAUAAAGUCAUUAAAUUUGAUAAUUUUUUUUUUACUGAAACUAAGUAUAAAAACUCAAGUUUAAAAAAAUAGAAGUUUAGGGGAUAAAAAAAAUAAAGUUUGAGGGGCCCUAGUUCAAGAUGGCCUACAGAUUUGAGUUAACUUAAACUAUUGUUAAAUUUAAAUUCAGAAGCUUUCAUUCAAAAAUUAUUUUUAAAAUAAAUUUUAUUAUAUUCAUGCAUAGUUAUAUGUGCACGUUAAGUUAUAACAUCUGUAUAAUUAUCUCUCAAAAAAAAAAAAAACAUAUGUAUAAUUUAAAAAACUAUCAUAAAAUUCACGAGAAUAAAUUUGAUUAAUUGAAUAACACGAGUUGUGUAUAGCUUUAGCUAAUAAACGACUUCUCAAUUAUGGGUGCACGUUAUGUUUUUUGUUGGAAAAUGCUAAAUUACACUUUCGGUCCUCAAAUAAUAAGUCGCGUAAUACUUUGGUGCUCAAACUUUAAUUUGUAUAAUUUUUUAAUCAAAUUUCUUAAAUUGUUGCAAUUAAAUUUCAAAUUCUGAUUUAGUUGACUAAAAUUUAUAUAUCGCUGGUGUGAAAAUUAUGUGAUAUUUAAUCAUCAUCAUUGCUAUUAAUCACAAUAUUAUUUUAUUACUUUCACUUUAACGAUUGAUCAGUAUUUGGUCAACUAAAUUUGACUGUGAAACUUAAUUGCAACCAUUUAGGAUCAAAUGUGUAAUUUAACCUUUUUUAAGAAAAUACUUAUAUUAACUUCACGGUGGGAGAGAGGAAGACUAGAAACUAAAAUUUCUUGAAAAUUUUGCAUUUUAGCCCAUAAUUUUUUGUGUCUUUUUUUUAAGAUUAAUUUCAUACAGAUCCCUACAAACAUAGUAAAUUAUAAAUAUAUUCCUAUAAAAUUCAAUUUUCAUAUGUUGUUCCUACAAAAGUCCUAAUAUUUUCAAAUAUAUCUUCCUGGUUUGUUACCAUUAAAAUACAUGUUUAUUUUAUAAGUAAAAUGACAUUUUUACCAUCACAAAUAUGUCCCUUCAAAAAUUUUAACUAUUAAUUAAAGAGGGGUAAAAAAAUUAAUUCACCUUAUUAAAUAACUAGAGUUAAGUAUUCUAUUUAUGGUUAACUAAGACUUUCUAACGGAUCCUAACGAUAAGAACAUAUUUGAAAACAUCAAAAUUUUUGUAAGAACAACAUAUGAAAAUUGAACUUUCUAGACAUAUAUUUAUAGAACUAGGCUGGAAUACUAUUAAUUGCACCAAUGACUUGAUGCUAUUAAGCUUUCUGCCCUUGGAUUAAAAAAUGUGCGGUUAAGAUGAUGUGGGCCUUCUAGGGUUGAGUGAGUGGUUGGUUGAAUAGUAUAAUCGAAUGGAUAAAAAUGAUAAAAGAGAUAAAUCUAACGACAGAAAACUUGAUAACACCAAAUAUUUCGUGCUAUUGAUAGUAUCUCAGCCGGACUCUAUAUUUGCAAUUUAUUAUAUUUAUAGGGAUUUGUAUGAUUUUUCUUUUUCUUUUUUUUUUCAAGGUGGGGCUUAUGAUAGUUAUUAUUACAAUGAUUACUUUAUUAAUAAAGUGGGAGGGUACACGUAAGCGUGUAAGGGCUCGUCCGUCGUUUUCUUCGCACGAAUCUUGGCGUGGGGCCAUGGAGAUCUCUAUGAAAAGAAAUAGUAGAGGGAGACGACAUUGGCCACGACCACACGUAGUCGGGAUAAAUCAAACUACUAGUUCCUAAACUUUGAGUCAAUUUUUUAUAUAUAUAUAUUUUAAAAUUUUAAAAUCUUAAUACAAUUUUAAUUUAGUCUCUGAAUUUUUAUGUGUCAUUUUAACUUUCAUCCUUAGAAAAAAAAAAUAUUUUGUACGUCUGAUUUAUCUACAUAUUCAGGCAUUAUAAAUUCUGAAAUUAAAAAAUCAAUAAAUAUACGAUUUAUAGAUGCGGCGAUGUAUUAGAUAUAGGCAAUAAAUUUUUUUUAAUAUUAGAUAUGUAUAAGAACUAAAAAAAAUUUUAAGAUUUAGGCGCAGCAGCUAAAAUAAAAUUUGAAAGGCCGAAUCAGGUACCAGUGAAGCAAUUUACCCAAAGAGAUCAGGAAGAAUCAUAGUGUAUUUGGUUCACCUGGCCUCUUUUUCACCAAAAAAUUAGAAUCGGAAUGGACGAUUCUGUUUGGUAGGCGAUUCCGUUGUUUGGCACGCAAAAGUCCAGUCCGAUUCUGAUUUUCCGAGUGAAAUGUGAAUCCCCAUCUUCCCUUUUUCUAAUUCGGGCUAGUAUGCUAGAUUACAAAUUGAAUUAUAAUGGUACGAACGUUUGCUCUAUAAAUAUCAGAACUAUACUUUUAUAUAGAAGUAGGCUGGAAUACUAUCAAUAGCACUAAGCCAUUGGUGCUAUUAGUUUUUUAGCCCUUGGAUUUAGAGAUAUAUGGUUAGUAUGAUGUGGACCUCCUAAGGUUGAGUGGGUGGUUGGUUGAAUAGUAUAAUCUGACAGGUAAAAAUAAUCAAAGAUUAAAUCUAAUGGUAGAAAACUCGAUAGCACCAAAUCCUUGGUGCUAUCGAUAGUAUCCCAGCCGGACUCCUUUUAUAUUUUAUAUUUUAUAUUUAAUUUUAAUUUCAAUUUUUAAUUAAAAUAAAAUUUUAAACGUAGAAAUUGAUUUUUUUUAUUUUAUAUUUUGAUUUACUUGAAUUGAAAUUUAAAUUCAAUCAAGCAUUUGAAUUUGAGCUAUUAAUUUGAAUUUAAAUUUAAAUUCAAAUUUAAAUAUUAUUUUUUUAUUUUUUAUUUUUAAUUAAACUUUAAAUUAAAUUUUUGGAUUCAAAUUAAAAUUUAAAUUGAAAUUUUAAAGUUUAAUUGUGAAUUCAUUUUAUUUUUUGAAUUGUCAAGUCAAUUUUUAAUUUUAAAAAAAUUAUGCAUUUUAAAUUUUGACUUACAAUUUUAAAAUUUUGAUGUUAAUUUUUAAUGGCUUAAGUUUUAGUUUGAAUUUAACUUGUAAAUAUACUUCUAUAUUUUGAGUUGUAAACUCAAUUUUAAAUUUAAUUUUAUAUUUUAUAUUUUUAUUUUAAUUAUUUCUUUUAACAACAAAAGGUUUCUCCAUCUCAAUAAAACAAGGGAAAAUUUCAAAAAACCCCCCGUGGUUUCAUUGUUUCUCACUUUAAUACCAUGUGGUUUAAAGUUUAUCAAUUUGCCCCCUUAUAGUUUCGUUUUAUCUUUUCGGUAGCUUCUUCGUUAAUAUUUUAUUAAAUUAUAUACAAAAAACUUUAGGUACCCAUCUAGAUUUAUCAAAUAUUCACUUUAGUACCCUUUAAUUUUAACUUUAUUACUGAUUUAAGGAAAAAAAAUAAUGAAAUUGAUAAGAAAAAGAGAAAAAAAAACCCACAGAGGGGGUUAAUUGAUACAUUUUAAACCACGGGGGGCAAAGUGAGAAGCUACAAAACCACAGGGGAGGUUUUUUGAAGUUUUCCCAUAAAACAAUGAAAAUAGAAUCAACUAUACCGAUUCCAAUUAAUAUUCUAAACUUAACAUAUAUAGGGAGAUUUUAUUAUUCCAUCUUCAAUUCCGGUCCAUCCCGAUUUCAAUUCUUAUUUUGGAUCAAACGCACCCGCAGUAUGUUUGUAUAAAAGUUGUGAUAUGGUUGGAAGUUAAAGUUAGCUGUCAAUGACAAUUUAUAAUGUGAUGCUCAAGAUGCAAUAAAUUCUUUUUCAUCUUAUUUGGUUGGGUGAUAAGAGGGGAUAACCCUUAUUCCCCUCUAUCCCCAAACACGGAAAAAAAAAAAUACGGGAUAAUUAUCCCAUUCCUUAACGGGUUAUUCUGAAAUAUUCCAAAUAACCAGUUAAGGGUGGGAUAGUUAUUCCACUCCUUGUGUUUUAACGGGUGGGAUAGUAGUUGUUCCCACCCCUAUUUAAUUUUUUAAAAAUUUAAAUUUAAAUAUUUAAUUUUAAAUUUUAAAUUUUACAUUUAAAUUUUAAAAAUUUAUAAUUUUGUAAUUUUAAAAUUAAAAUUUUAUAAUUUUAAAUUUAAUUUUUAAAAUUUAUAUUUUGUAAUUUUACAAUUAAAUUUUAUAAUUUUAUAAUUUUUUAAAUUUAAAAUUUGAUAUUUUAUAUAUUUAAAUUUAGAUUCAAUCUUAAAUUUAAAAUUUCAAAUUUAGAAUUUAGAACUUUGAAUUUUUGAAUUUGAGUUUUAAAAUUUUAGCUUUAAUUUUAAAUUUUUGAAUUUUGAAAGUUAUAUAUUUAAAUUUAAAAAUUUAAAUUCAAACAUAAUAUAAGGGGCAAUAUUAUUAUUUUCUAUUUAUAAUUAUCCACUAUUCUUAUUCUAUCUUAUCUAUCCAAAUGGUAUUUUUCUUAUUUCCGGAAAUAACUCAAAUUUUAUUUAAACACAAAAUUGAUCUAGUUUUUGCUUAUACCUAAACUUUUACCUAUCCCUGGAAUAGUCAGUUCUUACUUAUACUCGAACCAAACGAAGCCAAAGGUAUAAAUCAUUAGACCGAUAGGAUAGAACAAAAAUACAAGCAUGACUAUCCAAAAUACCCGAUAUACCAUACUCGAUUCAGACCCUAUCCGGACCCGAUAAAAAAUGGAUAGUAUACGGGUGAAAAAAUUAUCUAUUAAAAUUUUGGAUAUGUGUCCGGAUACUUUAUACCCAUACUCGACUUGUACCCGAUCUGAACCCGACCUUUUAAUGGGUAGGGUCCAGAAGAGUUUCCAAAUCCGAACCCGAAACCGAACUCGGACCUGGACCCGGUGAAAUACCCAAUAGUAAAUUAAAAAUGAAGUUGAGAGAUCAAUUUCAAUAGAACUUAUAGAUGAAGGAUCUCGGUAUAUUUUUAUCCUAGUGAAAACCUUAGCUGCUCUGUUUAUUCAUUUUUUUUAUUUUUUAUUUUACUAAUUAUUUUUAAUUCUAGCUUGUUUACUGCUUAAAUUUUUCUUUUGAGCAAAUUUUAUUGGAUUAGGUACAACUAAUUAGAACGUCAGUUUUUUUAUAGUGAGAGAUUUAUGAUUUGUCUAUAAAUUAUUUAACAAAAUUUAUAAAAAAUAUAUGCAUAUGGGUAUUCGUAUCUGAUCUAAACCCGACCCAUAACCAAUCUAUAUCCAGUCUUAAACAGUAGUAUACUAGUAGUUACUAUCCAAACCCACUCAAAUAGAUUCGAUGGAUAUAUUAUAAACUUAAGUACCCAGACACGGACCCGAUUCGAAGUUAAAUGGGCCGGUAGGGUAUAUAUUGUUUUUUCUAUUCAUUUUUUUUUAGGGUGCAGAUAUUGUAUAUCAACUAUCCAGAUUCGAUCCGAUCCACCAACAUCUUUAUGUCUGGUUAUCUAAUAUUCCUACUAGUAUGUGGUAUGAACCCAAUGCGAGUUGUAGAAUCCAAUCUAAAACAUAUGAGAAUCGAAUGAACCUAGUUGAAACAAAACCGUACAGAGAUACAAACAAUGUUUUAUUUUAUUUUAUUUUAUUUUUUGAGAGAUAGGUAGCACACUAUCCGCUUUGUUUAUUUCAUUUAGAAAUAAACUUAGCUGGAAAUGUGAAUCAAUUAAAAUUCGAACUUGGGUCUCGAAUACCAACCACCAAGCCCUUUGCCAUAUUAAUACCAUAAUAAAGUGUUCAGGCACAAUUCAAACGAUGUUUUAUUAAUACCAUAAUAAAGUGUUCAGGCACAAUUCAAAUGUUUACAACUGGCAGGUAGAACCUUAUAUACAGGCCAAGAUUUUUUUUUUUUUUUUUCCCUUCUUUUGGGAUUCAAUAUAGGACUUAUUUUUAGGGUUAACUUGAAAUAUCAUUUUUGUAGUUUCGUACUUUCUCACUUUAGUACCCUAUAGUUAAUAUAUAUCAGGUUAGUGUUCUGUGAUUUUAUUUUUAUCUUUUCGUCAGUUUCUCCAUUAAUAUUUUAUUAAAUUAUAUAUAAAGAACUUCAGAUAUUCCAGCUAGGUUUAUUGAAUAUUCAUUUUAUUACCAUUUAGUUUUAACUUUGUCACCAAUUAAAAGGAAAAAAUUAGUGGAAUCGAUAAUAAAAAGAUACAAAUGAUAUCAUAGGACACUAAACUGAUACACUUUAAACCACAGGAUAUUAAAGUGAGAAAGUGUGAAACCACAAAAAUGAUAUUUAAAGUUUUUCUUUAUUUUUAACUGACAAAGUGCUAAAAGUGUCAUAUAUCCACAUAUAUAUAGUAGUAUAAGUUCAUAGACUAGUUCUUUGUAAUUAUAAUUUGAUAUGAGUAAGGCUAUAGAGUAGUAGACUACUGUUGCAUUAAAAGUAAUACCAUGCAUGUAAAAUUGUCUAAUUAUCAGAGUAAGGCUACUAUAUAUGCUUUUAAAAUGAAGUUUGUUUUCGAUCAUAGGACAUUUGAAUCAACGAUUAUUUCGAAUGGUCCCGAAAUGAAUGAUAAAAAAUAAAAAUUUCAUAAAAAACGAUGAUAGAAAAUUUAAUUUUAUAUGAGGGGUAUUGAUCUUUUUUAAGAUAACAAUAACAAAAACGAAGUCUAUCAAAAUUCCAUCCGAUUUCGAUAUUUCUAUAUUGUUAAACUUAUAGUAGCCUGAUCAUAUGGACCGCUAAAAUAGUUAAAUUUUAAGACUUUUCGAUCAGUAGUUAAAUGAUAUUGAAAAAUUACAAAAUAUUAUUUCUAAAUGUCUUAAAUAGUGUAUAUCAAAUUUAACGGAGUCGAUCGUCGUUUCAGAUCAAUAUUCCAUUAUCGAAAAAAAAGUAGAAGUACGGAGGCCUCCACACCUCUAAAAACGUAGUAGCCUGAGUAGCCUCAGUCCCAUUUUCUAUAUUGACAACUUUGAACCCAAAGUGUCAACCCUAACUAAAAAGGCCAAGUUCACCAACUUAUGCCACAAUUAAUUUGCUCCCUUAUUUACACCAUGUUAGUGGUAAUUAUUCCCAUAUAUUCAACUAUCUCAAGCAAGACUUUUCUUUAUAUUGUCAUACACAUAGUGUUUAAUAAUCCUAAUUUUCAUCUUAGAUAUGUUGAAAACCCUAGCUUCGUACUGAAGAUGACGGAAAAACCCAUGGAAUAAUGAUGCAAGUUGAAGGCUCAUGUAAACUAUAUAUUAAGCUUAAAACUAUAUAUAUUGACUUUAAUUAACCCUAGCUUCGUACGUAUAGUUUGGCUUGAAUUGACUUCAAUAACAGGGCAACUCCUACUUUCACAAAGCAUAUAUUAGGCUUCAUGUCCCUAUCUUCUAUUUAUCCUUUCUUAUCCAAAGCAAGCAUCUUUCUUACGUACGUUACAAGUCCAUAAUUAAUAAAUAACUUUCAGAUUCAUUUCAUACUAGGGCAGGUUUGGCUCAGUCGUGUCGUGGGGGUUUGUCCACACGUGAGGUAGGGUUUACCACCAUGCACCGUACUGCGAUAAUGGACACAGCAUUAAUCUUUAAUAAGUUAUGGAUUUCAUAAAUAAAUGGAACAUCAUGAUUUGACCUGCUUAGUAUGCAUACAGUAGUUUUAUUAUUUGAGUACGUAGAACUUUUCGAAAAAGCACAUCAGACGAGUGUUCAAUACUCAAAUGCACUUCUAAUAGAAGUUUGAGGCCACUUUGAGCAAUAAUUACCCACGAACAGUCGCCUACAAAUGUACCAAAUGAAUAGUGGUAAUUUACAUGAUUCACAAUAUUAACACAAUAACGUGACCUGCAUGUGCCCGCACGACCCACACCUUUUAAACCUGCCGGCCGCCUUCGCCCUUCUCCAACAACCGUAUAAAUUGUUUGCAAGCGAAGCAUUUUCCUUUAACUUAUAAAUUGAUCCUUACAUCCUAUCAUAACUAGGUCAAGACAUAUAUAAGUGAUUCUCAUAAUUAAGAGUGAUAAGACCUAGUUAGCUAAUGACAUGCUCUUAACACAAAAGCAAGCAAUCCUAUUAGGUGACCAUGUGGCACUAUUGUGUCUAAAGGUGUUACACAAUAAAACUAUUAUAUGGCAGGUUUUCUCACAAUGAUAGGAUACAUCUUAGCCUACAAAAGAAAAGUGUAGGAUCCACCACUCUUUUUUCCUAGCCCUUCUUUAGAAAAGCAAAUGUCACAAUCUAUGGUGGGAGGUUGCUGCUCCUUUUUCAACAGCAGAAGCUAAUUCCCAAAUGCUUUAAUUUUCUCACCCAUCCAUGAUCCAUUUCCAAAUAUGAGGCACACACUUUAACAUAUGGAAAGUGCCUUGGUGCCAUUUGCAGGUGACAGUUAGCUUAUGUUAUACGAGUCAAUCUAUGCGUAACACAUCACCAUAUCGGUAUGGAUAUGUUAUGUUAUUUUCUCCUUUAUGUUGUUCUAAUUCCCAACCAAAGUGAUGUUAUAUAUGUUCGCCUUUUCGGCAAGAGUCUUUUAGACGCUUCAAUUAUCAAUUUAGUGCUUGCUUUGGAAACUAUCCAUACCGCGAAAGCAUGAUAUACAAAAAGUCUACUUGACAAAAGCUAAAUCUUUCUUUCUUUGGUGAAGGGGUCAUGUUUGGAUUCAUAAGAAUCUCGCUCAGCAUAAUCUUUUUUGUCUACUUAAGAUGCUUGUAGUAUUCGGUACAUAACAAAUAUGAUCAAAUAUCUGGAACCAUAUUCUUCUUUUGCAUUAGGGUAAACUACACUUUUGGUCCUCAAACUACAGUGUAGAUGACAGGAUAUUUUUGUCGCUAAACUUUGAUUUAUUACAAUUUCUGGCUUAAACUUUUUAAAUGGUUGCAAUCAAGUCGCACAGCUCAAUUUAGUUAACUAAAUAUUGAUGCGUCACUAAUGUAUUGAAAGUGAUGCAGCGGUGUUGUGAUUGAUGAUGUGGUAAUAAUUAAUAUGUUAUAUCACUUCCACAUGAGCGUUGCAUCAAUAUUUAAUUAACUAAAUAAAGUUGUGAAAUUUGAUCGCAACAAUAUAUAAAUUUUGAGCCAAAAAUUGCAAUAAACUAAGUUUGAGAACCAAAAUGUUACGUGUUUCAUAGUUUGAGGACCGAAGGUGUAAUUUACCUCUCAAAUUAUAAUGUAAAUACACUUUCCUAACAAAUAAUGCCAUCCAAGACUUGCAAAAAGCUAAGGGCAUAUUUGGUUCAUGAUUGGAAUAGGAAUGAAAAAUGAAUUGAAUUGUUUUGGAAUAGAAAAUGGAAUAAUGAACCAUCCAAAAAAUGUUUGAUUCAUUAUUGGAAUAGAAAACAGAAUGAGAAUCUAGAAUUUUGAGAGAAUGUUUUGAUUAAGAUAGAGGAAAGUAAUGAAGUGAGAGGAAGAGAAAGUGUUGUGAGAGAGGAUUUGAGUAGAACUUUACUUUAGAAUAGGUCAAUUCAGGAUUUAAAGCUAGAUUUGAUCAUAAAUUGAUUUGGCCAUUUCCAUUGUAAAGUGGAAUAGGAAUCGAAAUUUAAUUCUUGUAAAAUAAACAGUAACUAUCAAAAUCAAUGAAUCUCAUUCUUAUUCUAUAGUCUAAAAUAGAUGAGCCAAACAUGUCCUAAAAUCAAACUCCGAUCUUACUUAUAGAAAAGGAAAUAUUCGUUCCAACAACAUAUCAGUGAACAACGUACCGACUGUCCCUAGAGCAAAUGGCAAUGGGCUUGGUGGUUGGUACCCGAGGUCCCAAGUUCGAACCCUAAUUGAUUCACAUUUCCUGCUAAGUUUAUUUUUAAAUAAAAUAAACAAAGCAGGUAGCGUGCUAUGUAUCUCUAAAAAAAAAACAUAUCAGCGAACAACUUAUUCUAAAAUCCCAACAAAUCUUAAGUACGUUUUAUUGAAAGAUGUUCCUGAUAUUCCUUAUCCACACCCCCCGUCCCCCCCUAAAAGCAUGGACUGAAUAAAUGCUGAGCACAGUACAUUGAAGAGAUCUCCACUUCUUUUAAGACAUAAUCUUUCUUGUGAGCAGGGGGGGGAGAUAAGAGGGAAUGGUCAGAUAAUGGUGUGCCUCCUCUUUUAACAGCCUUUCAUGUGGCCCCUCAUUUGGCAUUUUUACCUUUCACUCCCUUGGCUCCUUUUUUCUUUUUCUUUUUUUUCUAAUAAACUCCUUUUCUCAUUUUGCUCCAUGAGGAAAAGUACACUUGUCCUCUAUCCUGUUUUGUCUCUUCUCUAUACAUAAGGUUUUAUUAUUAUUAUUAUUGUUAUUAUUAUUAUUUAUUUGAAGUAGGAUAAGGAGAGAAAUUUUAAUCUAACUACUUCAAUUUGAGUUCUUGUUUGAUAGGAUAAGAAAGGUUGUUUCACUUGCUUGGGGGGACCUCUAUUUGUAGGACCUAAAUGUGUACAAAAAUUAAAUAUCAUAAGCUUAUGAGAUGAUUAGGGUUUCAAACGAUUCAUCGAUCGAUUCGAACCGGGUCGGGCUGAUCCGGGCUUCUCCAGUAUAUGGCCCACACAUCUCGCUCUCUCGCUCGGCCUGUUCACAACUCUACUUAGGAGUUGUUUGGUAGUAUGUAAUUAUAUAUAAAUUCAAAUUCGGUAUUUGGUUUGAUACAUGUGAAUCCAACUGCUGCAGUUAGAAUUGCAUAAGGAGGCCUAACUGCAGUAGUUGAAACUAUGCUUAAAUUGGUCGCAGUUCAAACUGCAACAAUUGGAGAGAGUCACUUUAAACAAAAGACAAGCUUGCUCCCCUAAUUAUUUUUAUAUAUAAAAAUAUUUUUUCUUUCCUAUAUUGGAGGUAAUUCUACCACCACAUAUAUAAAGUAAUAAAAUUUUGCAAAUACACUUCUCAACACCAUGUAACCAUGCAAAAUUAUAUACAGAUAUAGCACUUUCUACUGUAUUCAACCAAACGAGAUAUAUGUAGUCGUAACUAUUGUAUUUCUAACUGUAUACAUCUCCAACUACACUGCAUUUCUAAUUACAUCGCCCAUUGUAGAAGUAAGCAUAUUUUUAGUUCCAUAGUUUGACUAAAUUUCUUUGUUGGACUUAGACUAUAGUUUCAUUAUCAAGAGAGUCCAAAAUUUGGUCGUGUUUCUGAAACAGAAUAAAGUUUUCAUGAACUGAACUGUUGUAAUUGAAACUACAACCAAAGGAGUAUCAAACUUUAGGGACUAAAUUUAUGUCUAACCCUAGGAUUUAAGUUAAAAAGGGAUAGGGUUUUCACUAUGGUAGUAUUGAGAGACAAAUAGUAGCAUGGGUAGCAUGGUAUAUCUUUAGUACAGAACAUUGGGGGUCCCUAGUCCCAUGAACUUGAAGCUAAUGGAGGCACCUAAAUCUACACCUGCCAAACCAAAUCUAGGGACCUUUUUUUUUUUUUUUCUGGUGACCCAAAUAAAUUUAAAAAAAAAAAAGAAAAAAAGAUGCAAGUGCUCUGUGCACUAAAAAGGGGGGUUUCUUGCUCUUAAAUGGAGGUGUAAAGAGAGAAUAUGCAUGUAAAACAGUGAAGGGGUGUGGGGUAGUGAGAGACAUGGAUGAUGGGGGGUGCUGUUUCUCUUUUGACAUUAGUGGACAAGUAAAAGUUGGGCAACCAUGAGGAGGGGCCCUGCAUGCACAAAUCUAGCAUGGGGUCCCCUGGGGAUUCACUAUACUUAUGUGUUAGGGAUGUUAUUGGGUUAGGAAAUUCAAAAUUUUAUCCGAACCCGAAUCCAAAAGAAGUCCCCAGCAGAUUCUGGUUUGGGUAUAGAAUUUGUCUGUGCCCGAAUUUGAACCCGAGUAAGAAUAAAUUUUACACCGACCGUUCCUAGAGCAAGUAGCAAAAGACUUGGUGGUUGGUACUCGAGGCCCCAAGUUCGAAUCCUAGUUGAUUCACAUUUCUAGCUAAGUUUAUUUCUAAAUGAAAUAAAUGAAACGAAUAGCGUACUACCUAUCUCUCUCAAAAAAUAAAUAAAUAAAUAAAUAAAUUUUAUAUUAUUUACUAUAUGUGAAUGUUUAACUUUAUGUUUAAAUUUAUAUUUUAGAAAAUUAUAUUUUAAUAUAAAUAUAUUUAGAAAUGUGGUAAAGAGAAAUGGUUAUAUUGAAUUCGGGUUUUCGGGUUCGGGUUUUGCUCUCGGAUUUUUGGUCGGGUUCG
rnacentral:lncRNA from 1 species